rnacentral:lncRNA from 1 species
UUACAAAUCCUCCUCCUCAUCAUAACCAUUCUGUUUUCCGCAUAAUAUCCAAAAACCUAUCAUGUCUGAAGAGAAACACCACCGCGGUCUCUUCCACCACCACAAGGAUGAAGACAAACCCUCAGACUACCCUCAGUCUGGCUACUCUGAUGAAGGACGUCCCGGCGGCCUCGGUGGUGGUUACGGCGACACCAAUGAUUAUUCUGGUGAAGGACGUACCGGCGGCCUAGGUGGUGGCUAUGGCGACACCAAUGCUUAUUCUGGUGAAGGACGUCCCGGCGGCUAUGGCGGCUAUAACGAGACCACUGCUUACUCUGAGGAAAGAGUUGAAAGACCCGGCGGUGGCCGGUACAGUGAGACUACUGCGGCAUAUGGCAGCACCACCACUCAUGAAUCUGAACUUGAUUACAAGAAGGAGGAGAAGCACCACAAGCAUCUCGAGCACCUCGGCGAGGCCGGUGUAGCUGCUGCCGGCGCUUUUGCCUUGGUACGUAUUGUAUUUUAACCCACCUCUAUAUAUAUAUAUAUUAGAAUAAUGCUAAUAAGACCAAAUUUUGAAAACUAAAUGAUGUGGUUGUUGAUAAUGAACUUAUUACUCAAGUCUUGAUUAACAUGCUUAUUUUCUAAUAGUGACACAUUAUUUGGUUUAGAAAUUUGGUCUUCCUAACUUUAUCAUUCUCAAAAUUUUCAUGAUUUUGAUAGGGUAAUACGGGAGAUCAAAAUUUCUAAACCAAAUUUGCAAACCAAUAGAUGAUUGGAUUAUUAAUUAAGUAUCGAUUGUUUGUUUCUUAUUAACGACAUAUCAUUUGAUUUACAAUUUAGUUAAAAAAAAUUUAUUCUUUCUGUCAUAUCCUUUUGAAUAUUUGAUCACUUUACUCUUUAUCACUUUACCCUUGAUCACUUUACCCAUACUCUUGCAACCGAAUCACCGUCCUCCUCCUUAACCUUCAUUUUUUUGUCUUACAGUACUCCAAUCUAUCAACUCUGUCCAUUGCAACUUUAAUUGUGAAGAAAAUUAAAGUCCUAUCGUAAAAUUAAUUAGUGAUAUGGAGAGUUGCGCAAUUAUUGAUGGACUAGGUAGGUAAGAUACGGAAUCAAAGUCUACCAUUAACAAUGGACGGAAUUGAUGAACCAUAUAGGUAUGUAAGAUACGGAAUCAAAGUCCUCAUGUAAAUGGUACAGUUGCAAUCAGGAGAAGAAAUGAGUUAACUGAUACCUUCGUAAUAGUUCAUGUAGAGUUUUGAUAUUAUUAAGCCUUAACCACCUGAUCUUAUAUAUACGAGGACAAAUCUAAUCAAAUAUGUGUUAAUUUCAAGGUUUGUUUUACAUUGAUGUGAGAUCGAUGCUAGCAAGAUAUAUAACUUAUGUCAGUUUCUAUAUGAUGUGUGUAGCAUGAGAAGCACAAUGAAAAGAAAGACCCAGAGCAUGCCCACAGGCACAAGAUAGAAGAGGAGAUUGCUGCAGCAGCUGCAGUUGGUUCGGGUGGAUUUGCCUUCCAUGAGCAUCAUGAGAAGAAAGAGACAAAGGAAGAAGAGGAAGAGGCUUAUGGAAAGAAGAAGCACCACCACUUCUAGAUCUAUGUGGAUUGUGGAACAUCAUCUUUUGACUACAUAUGCAAUGUUGUGUUUUUACUAGUUAUCAUGUGGUGUGAUCAGUGAGAGUGUGAUGCUUAAUCUCAACAAUAUCGCUACAAUAGUUGAGUGGUUAAAUGUCCUUUUCAAUUAAUGGGUGCUAUCUGGUUUUCUUUUAGCAUGCCAUCUAUGUAUGUAUGUAUGUAUGUAUGUCAUUGUUAUUGUUCAUAAUAAUACUGUUUACUCGGUGUUUAUUUCCUAGUGGCCACAUCUCAUUUUAAAUGAUUUCUUCAUACCAUUAAUUUUUUAAAUGUAAAGACUCAGUAUCCAUAUAACUACGAAAAUUUUUGACAAAACAAAAACAAGAAAAAAGAAAAGGAAAAAAUGGCUUAGCAAGUUUGUAUCCUAUAAGACAAAUGGGUACGUGGAACGAUGGACAUCUCACAAUGGUUUUUGAAUCGUCGGAUCAUCAUGGUUGGACUAUAUAAUUAUCAUUGAUAUAAUAUAAAUUUUGAUUUUUUUUUAGGAAAUUAAUAUCUGAAAACAAUAUUGAUGUACUGCAUUUGUUUUGGACGAUAUUAUACUUUAAUCCAAAUUUUGAGAAAAAAAAAACAUAUCGAACUCAGGUGUACAAGAGUGGCUUUGCUACCCAUGUACAGGGCUAGUUCUGAGUUUUUGGGUGCCCAGUGCGAAAGCUCAAAAUGUGACAUUUUUUAAUACGAAAACAUAUAUUAAAAAAAAUAUUUAAUGAGGGCUGGAACCCAGUCGAAGCUGGAGGGCUAGGACCUCACGCCCAAAUUAUAUUACUUGAGAAAAUAUACAACUGAGGAGGGGACAUGGUACCUAAACCCCGACAAUCAAAAGUACAAUCAUAUACAACCACUCCUAGCAAAUCUCCUUCAAAUUUCAACCUUUAAGAAAUUGUCUUCUGGCAUUUUUUGAAGCAAAAUCAUCAAUUAUAUCAUCAUACUCCAAGUCUUCAAUCUCAUCAUUUUCAAUGCAUAAGAUUGCUAAUCCAUUUAGCCUAUCUUGAGUCAUAGUGGUCCGCAAGUAAGAUUUUAAUAAUUUCAAUUUUGAAAAACUUCUUUUUGCAGAUGCCAUGGUCACAAGUACAGUUAACAGUACACGAUAAGCAAUCAAGACAUUAGGACACAUGUCAGUUUCUUUUACAAAAUUUGCUAUUUCCAUGGAUGUCCAAGGGUUAUUAGAGAGAAAUGCUUCUUCAGGUAAUAUCAUUUGCAAAACCUGCAAUUCGGAAUAUAAGUCAACUCCAUCUACAUCCAUGGUAUUUCCAUGUUUCAAAUGUGCUUCAAGAUUCAUACAAUUUUCUUUUAGCUCUUGAUCAUCCAAUGAAAUUAACUUUGGUGCAUCAAACAAGAAGCCAAAAAUAGAUUCAAAGGAUUUUAACUGUUCAAACUUGUGUUUCAGUUGAGAAAGAGCAAUAUCCACUAUAACAAGAAAAUAAUAUUUCCUAAAUGAUUCUUUAGCAGAUUAUUGUUCCCUCUCAUUACCAUCAACUUCAUCAUGAUGUCUUUUUCUAGGUCUAUGACAUUUAGUUUGAAAAAACAGGGUCAAUUUCCAAAUCAAGUGCAAUUUCAUUAGCAUCACUCAUGGCGGAAGCAAAACCAGUUUCUCUGUAGUUUCCAAAAAAUGUAACAAAUGCUUCAAAUGCCUUUACAGCAACAUCAAGACGCAUGUCUUUAGAUUGUAAUUUUAUGCUCACCAUGUUAAUCUUCAACAAAAUGUCAUACUAAAUAACCAAACUUAAUACAAAAUCAAAACUUGAAAGUUCGCCUGAUGCUAAACAUCUUGCAUCCCUACUUAAUUGAGGAUUUUCAGUAAUUUCCACCAAUUAAACAAAGCAUUUCUAACCUGGGCUACUUGAGACUUAAUUGCUUUAACAUUUUCAAUGUGACUUUCCCAUCGAGUAGUUGACAAUGACUUCAAAGUUAAACCAUCAAUAUGUUCAACCAAAAUAUUCCAACGCUUUGUAGAGUUGGAAAACACCAUAUAUAUGCAUUGACAUGCUCUAAAAAAAGAUUUUGCUUUAAGACAUGAACUUGCCAUAUCACAAACUAUUAAAUUAAGCUAAUGAAAACCACAUGGCAUGUAAAAGGCUAUGGGAUUUAUGUCUAACAAUCUUUUCUGGACAACUUGGUGUUUCCCUCUCAUGUUAGAUCCAUUAUCAUAACCCUGUCCCCUCAUAUCAUCAAUAUCAAGGUCUAAAAUAUCGAUAUUAUCCCGAUAUUUCUUUCGAAAUUUCUGUGUUUUUGGAUUACCGAUAUUUCCGAUAUCAUCGAUAUUUUAGACCUUGAUAGGAACUCUAUGUGAUACUAAGUCACUCAUGUAUCUUACCAUGCAAUGUAUAAAGUGUAAAAUAUUGUAUUAAUUCAUUAUAUAUAAAUGAUUAUGGUGUGUUUAACUUCUUUCAUUAAUUACUACAUAUUUUCUACACUCAAAAUGUUUGUCAGCUCACUAUAUAAUCAACUUAAAUAAGUUAAAUCCAUCAUGAAAUGCAUUUCGUUCCAAUUUUUUGUAAUAAACUAGUAGAUAAUUGACUAAAUAAACAUCCUGCAAAGUUUCAAUAAAAAUUUCCAAGUUUUUCUUAUAAUUUCCGUGGUUUUUAUUCAAUUUUUAUCGAUAUCGAUAAUAUCCCGAUAUUUCCAUCAAAAUUUCCGUAUUUUUGGACUAUCAAUAUUUUCGAUAUCAUUGAUAUUUUAGACCUUGAUCAAUAUCAAGAUCAAGAGAUUUUAGGACAUCUUGCAGCUCGUUAAAAAGCCCUUGUCCUAAUGUAUCUUUCACACUUAAAAACUCCAUGAAAUACUCCCUUAUAUUUAUUGACCUACUUGACAAGUCAACACAUCACAAAAUUAAAGUCAUCUGUUCCACAUGACUUGCAUUAGGAGUACAAUCAAGAAUGACAAAAAAAAAUUUGGCUUCUUUUACUUUUUUAAUGAUUGCGGUUUUGACUUUUGAAGCUAAAGUAGCUAUCAACUCAUUUUUGUUGGAAAUGUGCCCUAAAACCAAUCAUAUGAUGAUACUUUACGAACGUUUCACAUGUUAAACUAAUAUAGUUUAAUAUAAAGGGCAAAAAUUAUUGUUUGUAGCCGUCUCAUAUAAAUGUUAUACGCUUAAACGAUAAGUCCAAGGAAUAUGUAAUUGGGAGAAUGCGAUCUAAAGAAGUUAGAUUCAUGAGACCAUUCUCUUCCGUAUACAUAUCCUAAACGUUACUGAUCAUAGGAUUGUCAAUUGGGCAUUGAUAGUCUGUUAAGAUCAGUACGUGUUAUGUCUUCUCUUAAGGAGAGUGACUGGUCUCGAGUCAUUGGUGUGACUGACACCAAGACAAGCAUGUAGGUGCUCAAUAGAGAAUGAGUCCACUGAACACGAUCAACAAGGAGUUCUCAUACUCAUGUCACAUGAGAACUCGUGGUUGGAAUAAUGCAAAGUAGUCAUUUGACCUGAGGCAUCAUAGUUGUCUUGUGGUUAGGUCCUUGAUCUUUGACUAUGUCAAAGUCACUCCGUCAGAGGGUGUCCAUUGCAUAGUUGGGGUUAAGCCACUUAGCCAUGGAGGCAAGUGAAUGCACAAUAAGGGAUCUCUAACCUUCAAACUAUUUGAGGGAGAAUACUCUAUGAUAUGAUUAAGAAUCUCUGGCCAGAGUAUGAAUGAUAUUUAAGAAGUCGUUCCAAAUCACAUUCAAGGUAAUCAUAUAAGUAAGAGAAUCACAUUGGAUAGUAGACAUGAAUAAACUAUCAAACCAAACAAUGUGGUCAAGAGUAUUGUAUUAGAGUAAGACCGUAUUGCAUUGUAAUCCUAAACUAAAUAGGUUCUCCACCUCUUCUGAUCAGCUUGGGUAACCAUGACAUACUGCUAGGUGUUACUCAUGAUUUGUGGAAGCCCUAAACGUGUAUAAUCACUAAAGGGAGAAUUGAAAGUAAGUUUCAAUUUACAAUCGAUUUGAAAGAGUUCUAAUCGCUCACUGCCUCGCUAAAAGGAACCUAAUGGAUCGUACACCGUGUAAGGUAGAGAUUGAAAAAACAACGGAGAUAAGUAAGGACAAUUAAAUGGUUUAAUUGUUUAUGACAAGAAUUAAUUAAUAUGUUAAUUAAUCAAACGAAUAAGUUCGGGUUAAACCUUGAGUUAGUUUUGGGCAUUAAAGCCCAAAUUGGGCUUCGAAUCUUCAAACCCAUUAGCUUAAGUUGUAUGACAACUUAACAAACAAAAUUCAAGAAGCCCAAAACAGCCCAAAGGCUUGGGAAAACCAGCCAUAUAGAGAGGGGUAGUGAACUUGGCUUAAUUGCAAGUUUGCCAUUCCAUUGUGAGGUGGUAUAAAGGCAACUUUAUAGCCAUUUCAUCCUUAGGGUUUCUUUUGGAGAAAAGAUGAGAACACAAGCUCCCUUUUCUCUCUAAGAGGCUGGCCACCCUAGAGGAUUUUAGCUAGCAAUCUUACUUCCUCUAGGUCACUCAUCUCUUCUUCAAGUCAUUCCUUGGUGUGGAGACUUAGAGGUUCCUUUCAACCAUCUUCAUCCAAGAAAUCCAUGGAGCUAAGAAGCAAGGAAUGAAGGCCCUCGCCUUGGGUGAUUAGCCUUUGCUUAUGCAAAGAGGAAUCAACAAAGGUAUAAAAUUUCUCAACUCACUUUGUUCUUGAGUUGAGUCUUGGUUCACAUAACUACUAGGCUUUGAAUUUCAUGGGUAAUGUUUUGUUUUGAGUGCAUACAAGCAUGAUUCCGCCUUUAAUUGUUAAUUGCAUGCCAUAGAUGUUGCUCAAAUGAACAUGUUUCUCACAAAAUUUCCUUCAAUUUUGAAUUUUAUGGCUCAAAUAGUGAUGAUGAAUCUCUUUAUUCUCAAUAAGUCGAAAAUGCUAUUGCAUUAUUGGAUCAAACUCCGCAUUCAUUUCAAGUAAACCUAAGAAGUUGCCAUUAGAGUCUUCAUAAAGUCUUUCAUUUGUUCCACGAAAUGCUAAAUUACGUAUGGCAAGACAUUUCAUAACAUCAAUAAUUCUAAGCAUCACUUGUUUCCAAUGAUUUGGCUCUUUCUUGAUUUGCAUUUGAAAUUCUUUGUCAAUUGUCUGAUUUUUUGUCAAUCUACUUUUCAACUCAACCCAAGUUCUCGAAUUAAUGAGAUGCUCUUUACUCUUUUCAUAUUGGUCAAGCUUCUUACCAAGAUGUCUCCAAUCACUAGUUCCAUCUUUUGCUAACUCACUUUUUGAGGCAAUUAUUUUAAACAAUUUACAACAAAAGCAAAAGACUUUAUCCAACUCUUUUGAGUACACGAGCCAUUUCCUAUCGUAAAUUUUACCCGUUCGUAAUUUUCGAUCAUAGUAGUGUGAGGAAAAUUUUCUAGAGAAUUUGUCCUUAGGAUAAGUGAAUUAGUUUCUCAAAUUGGUCCUUUUUCUACAAGUAAGUCUCUCAUUUUUGCAUUAAGACCAUCCCAAACUAUUGGAUCAUAAAUGUCUAAAUGAAAAAUAGGUUCAAGAGAUUCAAUAUUUUCUUCUACACCAAAAUGAUCAUCAUCAACAUUUAAAUCCACAUCACCACCAUUUUCAUGAUCUUGAGACUCAUCACCAACAUUUUCCUCUAAAUCACCACAAUUUUCUUGGUCAUGAGACUCGUCAUUAACAUCUUUCUCCACAUAACCACAAAUUUCAUCAUCAUGAGACUCCCCAACAAUAUUUUGUGACUCUUCACCAACAUCAUUUUCUCUCAAAUUUUCAACCGACUCAUUCUUUAUAGAAUUUUUUUUAUUAAGAGAUCCUCUUAAACUUUAGGCAAUUUCGUUAUCCUUUGCCUUUUUUUUCCUUUUCAUAUUACUAGAGAGUUAUUUUCUAAAAGACAUGGCUUUGAUAAUUUGUUUGCAAAAAUUACCUACAUAUGAUAUAACAAAAAUUUCCUAUUAAAAUUAUCAUCAACAAUUCAAAAAUUACCUACACAUGAUAAUCAAGAAUUCAAUUCAUCAACAACAACAAUUCUAUACAUCAAUUAUCAUAUAAUUCUGUCACUUGCAAAAUUUAUAUUAAAUUAUGAAUUAAUAAUUCAAAUUAAAAAAUUAGUUUACCUCAAAACUCAAAAGGGUUGUUGAAUGCAAGGACUUGUGGGCCUGUGGCUGUCGGGUUUGGAAGCUGUAGCCUGCAGCAGCGCAACAAAUUAUCAGACGGUAAGGGCUAGGGCAGUGGGGUAACAAUGGGGUGGGGAAUCGGGAAAAAGGGGAACUUAGGGUUAAUUGGGGGGGGGGGGGGCGGGGACGAGUGGUCCCCUUGUGUUGUUAUUUUUUAUUUUUUUAAUGGCCAAAACCUGGGCUGGUCUUUUUUUUUUAAUUUUUUUAUUAUUUAUAAAUGCCCAAAACCUGGGCCGUUCCCUUCAUUUUCAAACUUGGGCCUCUUGCCCUCUAGUUCUUAUUUUGGGCUCUGGACAAAUUUUUUUUAUACCUAAUUAUUUGGACUUUUUUUUUGGUGCCCCUUUCAAUUUUGGGCCUUGGAAUGGCCCUGGUUGCACUGGGCCUGGGCCGGGCCUGCCCAUGUAUAUGUUAUCUUGUGAUUUGACAAGUCAUAUGUAUAUCAUAUCAAUUUUAUCUCAAUUGUGGUGAUGGUACAUAAUACUUACUACAUCGUAUGGCAACAAAUAAAUAUGGGCAUAAAGAUAAAUAGAAUGGUAUCAGUAAAUUAAGGUCUUCACAUUACGAUUAUAUUUAUCUCUAUUUUUAGUGGAAAGUUUUAAGGAUAAUUUUUUUUCUGCCUCCUACAUGGGUCUCGAUUCUCCUCUACGGUAAAAAUCCGUAUGUUUUAAAUAUUGAAAAGUUAAUUUAGCCCAAAUCCUUGCCUAUUUUAGGGAAAAUAAAAAAAAUUCAUUUUUAACCCUUUGAUUACUUAUAUCACCUAGUAUAACCUUUUUUUUUGUGUGAUACAAACAAAUAUUUUUGUUUGGGCCCAAAAUAUUAUUUUAGGCUGAGCUUAGGUCAUUCUCGGCCUAGUGGCAUUCAUUUAGAAUUUUGUUAUGGGCCGUCCAGUUAAGGUCAGCCGAAUCCUAUUAUGAAAAGGUUUGGUUUGGAUAAGGGUGAGUUGGUCGAUACUAGUGCAACAAGGAUUCUGAAGACUAAGGACAUUGAGAAUUAAAGGGUGAAUUUGGUUUGUUAAGAAGCUUGGUUCAAAGUCCUACAGGAAUUAGGAUUGGUUGAAACCUGAUCGGAUUGGGUUGAGGAGUUCUAAUCCUAGUCCAUUUCUAGUUCGGCUAUGAGGGGAUUCAUUAUUAUAAAUAGAGAAGGGAGUGCAUCAUUCAAAGCCCCUCCAAUUCAACACACAAAUUGCCUUGUGCAAAGCUUCUCAACAACCUUUGAGAUUUUAUCCACUUCCUCUUUCUUUUGCCAACACAUCUUCAGUUUGGAUAAAUAGCACUGUGAAGGCAACCGUCGACAUCUUCAGUUUGGAUAGACUGCACUAGAGCCGUAAAAUUAGCCGACCAAGGAGCACCUUUAGUUUGGAUGGACAACACUGCUUUGAGGCCGACUGGCUAUUUAUUCAAGUCUCGGCUGAGAAGGAUUUUCAAAUCCUUGUUGGUAGAGGUCAUCUCGUCAGCCUUCUCGGCAAAGUGAGGUGUUACAGGUUUCUGGGCUCGGCACAUUGAACGUUGAGUUUUGUUUUAUGAUUAGAUACUCACAAGUAAGUUUUAGAGUUUGGCAUUCCGAUGGCCGAAUCACAUUUACAAUCAAGAUAUAUAUUUCUUUCGAGUAUUUGUGUCUGUAUAGUUUGGUACCAGUUCGGCAUGCUUAUACUCUCACGAAUAUAAUCACUAUGAUCGAACCUGAUGCCGAUGAUUUGUGAACUUCAUAGAACUAGCAACCUUGUCUUCAGGCAUUAUAAUCCAAAGGCCGAGACAUGUUCCUUCAUCGAUCGCAGUCGUAAGAUCGAGAAGUCAGCAGCGCGCCCAACGAGACAUCAACACAUUCUAUUCCUCGACCGAGUUGGCACGCCCUGCACAUAACUGAAGGACGUAGUUAGCUUAUUAGUUACUCAGCCUAUGCGUCACGUAGGCUUCAUAGUUUUUAGUGUCAACAUUUUGGCAUGCCCAGUGGAACCCAGUGUUAAAGCUACGAAGUUCAUGACCAUUGAGACACGGUCAGUAAAAAAGAAACCAGUAAUGGGAAAGUUGACAACUAAUCUUCCAGUCUAAAACUCAUGACAAGAUGGGUUGUUAUAGACACAGAUUCAUGCUGCUGCCAUGACACCUGAAGCCACAAGUGCGACAUGCCGAGAAAAGGAAGUGAAUCUUGGCAAUCAGCCUUGUGGUGCAGAAAUCCCCACCAAAACGACAAAAGGCAUUUUUGUUGAAGGAAUAGUGGAUGAUUAUGACGAGGACGGUGGUAAGGCCUCUGAUCCACCAACCAGGUCGUUUUUUCGACGACGACUUGAAGAGUAAUCUUGACAACUUGAGCAGAUGUUCAGCCGAGAGAUAAAAAAACAUAUUUAAAGAAAUGCGUGAUAAUAUCGCUGUACAUAAUUUAUUGCUCGAAGUUCUGGUUAGUAAAGUCCAUGACAUUGGACCCACCAAUCGAUCCAGGCAUCAUUUUUUCAGGAAUAACCCACUACCAAUAGUACAGGUCGAGACAUAAUCCACUUGGCUCAAAAUGAUUAACUUACAGAAAAGUGGUGGGUUAAUCAGCAGAUCAAACGGAUUCGACCAGAGAGCGGAAACGACAUAUGUUGAUAUGGUUGAAGUUUAGAGAAUGAUUGAUUCGGCCUUGAAAAAUGGGCCAAAGUUUCCAAAAUUCAUUCACCCAUAUCCUGCCUUUGUAGAAAAGUUUGAGUACCCAAAGGGGUUCAAGAUCUCUGACUUCAGCCUUUUCGUUGAAGAGUCGUCCCUAUUGUCAUUAAACACGUGGCUCAAUUCACUGCUCAAUGUGGGGACGUUAACAGUGAUUUCCAUAAGCUACGAUUGUUCAAUUUCUCGUUAACCAGCUCAGCAUUCGCAUAUUAUAUCAACCUCUCACCCAACUCUAUCCAAAGUCAGGAGGAACUGGUCGAGAAAUUUCAUGAGCAAUUCUAUCGACUGGGGAUGGACGUAUUAGUAUCUUCUUGGGCUAGGAUGGCUCAAGCCUCUGAUGAGUCACCAAUGGAAUACUUUACAAGGUUUAAGUUGGCCAGAAAUUGGUGUCGAGUACCUCUUCCUGAAGUCGAGUAGGCUUGCCCUGAAUGGCUUAGACGUGGAGUACAAGAAGAAAUUCUUAAGGGCAUACUUUCGAGAUAUGUACGAAUUGGCUCAGCAUGUCGAGCAAUAUGAUUAUUUUCUCUGAGAGGAAAAGAUCUCGAAGUUUUCAUCCCGAGGAACGAUCUACAAGAACUUUACGGUUAGCUAUGCAUCGGCCAAAGGCGAGGAGUCCCAAUAUGCUAGUAUAGACGUGGCCAAGAUAUUAAUCGACAAACUGUACAUAUGUAAAACAUUGGCUCAUGCUACCUGUUCAGCCUUUGAGGAAGCUGCCGUCAAAACGUUAAAAGUCUAUACUUUCGACAUCACUAAGGCUGAUGCCAUCUUUGACCAGUUAUUGCUUGCAAAAAUUGUCAAGCUUCAGCCAGGGCAUAAUAUUCCAAAGGUCAAGGACUUAAAAGGAAAGACAUAUUACAAAUACCACAACUCGAACAAGCAUACGACAAACAACUGUGUCGUAUUUCGCGAUGCCAUUCGAAACUGGAUAGAUAACGGUAAGCUUAAAUUUCCUGAGAAACCAAUGGUCAUUGACACCAAUCCUUUCCCUAUGACAACGGUAAGCAUGGUAGAUGCUCACCUACACAAGGAUAAGAGAAAAGGAAAAGCCGAGUUCAUCCCAACGCAAUACGUCCCUAAGCAGAAUUCUCGAUCACAAUUGAAAGUCAAUCUAUCCUUGGGUGAGCCACCCAGAUACUUUUCAAACCCAACUAAUACCGAGUCAAUAUCAAACUCCAGCACGGGAGAAAGUGACAUGCCAAUGGUUUUAUGCAGUUGGUGUAAAUCAAACGUCAUCAUAACUAAGCUGAAGGAAAAGCCACUUCGGACUGAAGCACCACUAACGCCUGUAGUUGUAGCAACACCUCAAAAAGUGCUUGGUACAGACCAACACCAUAAAGUUUUUGAUAGGCUCAGCCCUCAAACACGGAAUGACGGCCCGUCUUCGGCCCGAUAAUGACUUAAUUUCGACGUUUCGUUUUAUAAUGAAGAGUAUUAUGUGUGCAACUCCAGCAACUCGAGUUCAUCCGCGAACCAAAGAAACUUCAAGUCACCUGAGCCAUGCGACUAGUGUUGGUAUACCUACAAUUCCCUACCGAUGUAUAUAUUGCAUUGUCCAAAUCGUAGAAACAUCAGCGCCAAAUAAUGGACUAUAUGGCUCGCCAAUGAGCAGCCCAGACUACCUCGGUCACCAAGUGGCAACUGAAAGAAACGGUAGAUAACGAAGAUGAUUGACAACCUUCGGCCAUCAUGGUUGAGUUGCUUCAAGGAAAGAAAGUGAUCGAUCGUGACUUUGAAACCAUGAUUGAAGAAUCUGAAAAGUGAAUCAAACUCUUUCUUCGGCCUAGGGAGAUGAAAGCUUGCCUCGAGCACUUUCGGAAAGAAGUUGAAAACAAACUUCCUUUACUACCCUCGCAAGAGCCAUUAAUUAAAGUUCGAAGGAAUCUUCACCCGCCAUUUCUUAACAAAGCUUUAGAAUACAUGCAAGAGUUCCAUAUAAAAACAUUCAGCUAAUGGUUAAUAUUGCAUGCCAAAAGCAUGCCAAGAGGCUCUUGAUCUAGUAUUAACUUGCCCCGAUGCCGAACAAAUCAUCCAAAAGACCAUGGAUCAGAGGAUGAAGGCUAGAAUCCAGCAUAUACUCGAGGCUUGAGUUCUCUACUUUGAGGUAGACCCAUAUACUGAUAUCGAUCCAACCGACCUUCCUUUCUCCCUUAAGGACCUCCAAUAUUUACUGUAUCAUUUUGAAAUUUUCUCGGCAGUUGCCCUCUUUAAUCUUACGACUGAUGAGAAAGAACGUAUGGCGUGAUUAGAUGCUUACUUAGACACAAGAGACGCCCGCAUCGUAUAUCAGGAGCGGACUCACAAGGCUUCACAAGAGCAACACCAAGUCCCCACGUUGAGCGAGCCUAAAGUUGAUGGUCAGAACGAAAUGGGUUUGGUGGAUGCACUGUAGGGACGGGUUCUCUUAGCUGCCGGAGAGGAUCAGCCAGAUAAUGCCCAUAAGCAAAAUACUUCGCCUGAAAAUCUAGAAGACAAAGAUCACGACCCAAUGGGUUCUUCGGUCCUUGAUAACACGGAAAUCAACAUGGUCCAUGUCUUACCUGCCGAGUUCUAGCUAAUUACAUCUCAACCAAACUUUAUGGACGACGUCAAAGUCGCCGAGGAAGCCGCACAAGUCGAUUUUUUGGCCACCGAAGAGAUCGAGCAAGUAAGCAAAGAAGAUAAACUUAAGGCAGCUCUUGCCAAUUUGUUCCCCCGCUAUUCGUCAGUUAAUUUUCAUCAUUUAAAGCCAUUGUAUGUUAUAGCUCGUAUUGAAGGAUAUCUGGUUUCUAAAAUUUUUGUCGACUACGAAGCAACGGUCAACAUCAUGCCCGUUUCUAUCAUGAAGGCAUUACGUCGCUUUAGCAACGAACUCAUUCCAUUAGGGGUAACCAUGAGCAGCUUUGUCGAUGACAAGUCCUAAACCAAAGGAGUGCUUCUUUUAGAGGUAAAUAUCGCAUGUCGCAAUCACAUGACCGAGUUUCUCAUAGUUGAUUUAAAGACUGAGUAUAAUUCCUUGCUUGGUUGUGAUUGGAUCCACCAAACAAGCUGUAUCCCUUCGUCAUUAUAUCAAGUCUCAUCUUUUGGGAUGACAAAUCAGUCGUGGUUCAUCCAGCCAACAAUCAGUUGUUUGAAGCUAAUAUAAUUUAGGCUCGUUAUUACAAUGAUCACAUCGGCUACAUCACCAUAUAAGGUUUUAAAGGGGAAGGACGGCCAACUUGAAUCUUAAUUUAGAAAGCCAUUGAGGUUGGAAAACAUUGUGACAAGAUUCGGCGUACCAAAAAUAAUUAUAACAGAUAACGGCAUAAUUUUUACAGCCGACAAGUUUAAAGAAUACGCAGCGAGUCUAAAAAUUCAGCUCAAUUAGUCCACGCCAUAUUACCCAUAAUCAAAUGGACAGAUCGGAGCAAGUAAUAAAGUUUUAAUCGGUAUACUUGACAAAAUGAUAAAAGAAAAGCCUGGUAUGUGGCAUUUGAAGUUAAACGAGGCAUUAUGGGCAUAUCGAACUUCACUCUGAUCAGCAACAGGGAUGACCCCAUAUGCGUUGACUUAUGGGCACGACGCGAUGCUACCGGUCGAGCUAAGCAUAAACUCGUUAUGAGUUAUCGAACAAAGUAGUUUAUUCAGUGCCGAGUACAGUCAGGCCAUGAGGUAAGAGUUGGAGGACUUGGAGGAAGCUCGGCUCGAUGCCUAUAACUUACUGGUGGUGCAUAAAAAGAUUACCGAACGAGCUUAUAAUCGAUGAGUUAGGCAAAAGACGUUCGGUGAAGGUGAAUUAGUAUGGCAAACCAUGUUACCAGUAGGGAUUAAAGACCUUAGAUUUGGGAAAUGGUUGCUGAAUUGGGAAGGACCAUUCGUCAUCCACAAGGUUCUUGGCAAGGGGGAAUACCACUUGAAAAAGUAUUAUUCGAUUACUUGGGAAAUGCAAGAAUAAAGAAUUUAUUUCAUUGAUUUUCAAAGGACAUUUACAAGCAAAAUUACAAAGAGUCGAUCGGCCUACAACUACAACUAAAGACAAAAGUCCUAAAGAGUCGAAGGAAGAAAAGCUUCAAAAGUGGCUUUCAGUUCUAGCCAUCUUACUUCGCCCAUCGUGACCUCAGCCUGUCUUGUUCUUUUGUCAAGUUGUAGUUGAUGUAUCUGCUUCGAGCUAGCUGCAUACUCUGCCAGUCGAGGUUUAUUCGAAUUGAAAUCUAUUUCAAGCUCGGAAGCAACGGCUGACCUUUGACGUGGAAGUUUAGUGAUUUGGCGGUCAAGAUCGGCCAGCCGCUCACUCUUUGCUUUUAUGGCCUCGAGCUCUGGUCGGAUAGCUUCAUGAACGACCAUUGAAGCCUUGAGGUCAUCUUCUGCCUAAAGAGCCCCAUCAAAAAUAGCGAAGUAUUGUCGGGUUCGUUUUAGGAUAUAAGAUAGGUGAACGACAUUCUCAUUGCUUAGAAUGCCAUCGUUUACAAGGUCGUUCAUACAUUCUUCUAUAGAAUCGAGGCCUUUGUAUUCAAGGAUUUGCAUGGCUGAGAUAGACAAAAGCUCAUGCAGCUUGGCGAAGACACUGGACACGGCCGCGAUUGCAAAAGACUAGAUCGCGGUUGUUGAAGGCCUAGUCACCCCAGAAGUGUUUGAGAGGAGGGUGUCAAGCUUGACUUUCCAUGAAGGCUGCAUAAAAAGAGUUGUUAGAAAAGAGAAGUUAAAAGGACGGUAGAUAAGGACGUUGUGUUAGACCUACCGAGAAAAGACUUCGGCCAUGUCUGUUGGUUCGUUACUCGAACCGAGAGAGCUUAAUGGCCGAGCCUAGUGUUUAAGGCAACCUUUUAAUUCAUGUGGCCGAUAAAGGUUAUCUAUGUUUGAUGGCUAUUGGGAUGGCCAAGAAAUAUAAAUAACGCCAUUUGGCGCAUAGAAUUUUUGGAGAAAUGAGUAAUUAGGCACCUGGCAGUUAAUAUUUUCUUGGUUUAGAAUUCUAAAGCAAAAAAUUAAUAAAAGAAAAUGAUGACGAGUCUUACAAAGGUCGAAGUAACCUCCUGAAGAGGAAUGUCGAAAUUCUGGUCUUGAGGAUGAACCAACGUCUUUACCAUUGCUUCUGCCUCGACAGGAGGCACCGCUUCAUGUCCUGCACCUAUUUCAGUUGCAAAAGUGUCGACCUGGCCAGCCAUCUCAACUAUCGGUUGAGGAUUGGUGGUUGGUAGUUCAGCUGGUUGAGAGCGCCUCACCAACGGGGGUACUUCAUUCUCGUCAUCCUAUACAUAAAAGAGGAUUGGUCGUUAGUUGAGAGAUAUAGUCAAAAUAAAAGGAGAACAUUAGUAAAAAUGGUCAUACCUAUUCUUCCACAAUGAUUAUUGGAGUCUUCUUUAGAUUUGGCGGAGGGUUUCUCUCGGCUGUGGUGGCCUCAUUCUCCAAAGCAGUAGCUGCCACGCUAACACCAAGAAUAACGGCCGGCCUCGGGGUUGGAAAACCCUUGACUAAUGGGUUGAUGAUGGGUUCAACAACAGCCAGCAUAAUGGGUUGGAUCUUAGUUGAUUGAUCUGUCAGAGGAUUUUGCGGUACUCCAAUCGAGGCCUGGACGACAUGAGAAUGGAGAAGGGCACUAGGAGUGGUUGUUCCCGUGGUUUGACUCGAAAUGACAUAUAUCUCCCGUUCUUCAUUCUUUUCCUUUUUCUUGAGGCACUUUUGGGACCGGGCAAUGUUGCCAGUCGUCUCGACCUUUGGGCGAGGCCGUUUGCUCGGUGCGGUCGGUGCAAUAGGGGCUGCUGCAGAAGUUGGUUUGACUGAAGGAUGAGCGAGUUUCUUUUUAGUCGCGACCAUCGUAACCACAUUGACUCGUUUUAUGGCACGACCACUUGGAAAAACUGAGUUUAAGUCAGAACGAUGUUCAAAUUGAAUAAACAAACAAGGGAAGUAAAAGAUAUAUACCUUUAGUUGUUUCUUUGGAUUUUGGGACGAGUCUUCCUCGGUCGGUCGUCGAAAAGCUUCUUUGAAAUUUCCUCGACUGAAGUACUGAAGAAGUCCUUGACGUAAGCAUCUCACCAAUCGGCGAAGAUGCUAAUGCAAUGGGUUUUUGGGGUAAUCAGCCGAAGAUAGAAAUUGGUGCAUCGCUCUAAGAAUUCCCUCUCGGAUUCAUCACAUUCCCUUUAUGAGGAGCUGAAGAGGCGUUCUCGGCUCAAGGGUGAGCGGGAAGUGAGGAGUGGCAUAGGAUAGGCCUGGACAUAGCUCAGUGGAUAGGCCAUGAAGUCAGGAUGGCAAAUCUCCUAGCUGGCCCAUCGAGCAUCACAACCAAAUGGAAUGUCACGAGCUAGAACAAAUGAUCCAUAUGAUUGUCGGAGAUCAGCGUCUUCUGCUUCUUCCCACACCAAUGUAGGGAGCCUGAUGGAAGACAAAUAUUUCUGGCGGUGGCAGACCAGAAACUCGUCGUUCAACAAGUCUUCAAGGUCGAAGAAGUACUUGAAGACAUCUUCGGCCAAUGGGCAGGAGUAGGGUGUGAGGACAGUUGAAGGCUCAUUGCUUUGGAAGAAUUGAAGUGUAGGAUUUUUGGCCUCAAUGUGUAGAAGUAAACCUGCAACCAUAGUUGAAAGACUCAAAGUGGGCCGUUCUGGUGUGGGUUGAUUUUCCCGACGGAAACCUCAGCCAAGCAUCGAGAAAGGUUGGCAAUGAUGGUCGAGCUGAAGGGCAGGACGUGGCCACUAGCUAGCGCUUCAGCCACUAGCACAUUCUUGGCCAGGCACUUGUACGACUUGGUACAAAAGAUGAACUUAUUGUACUACUAGAACGAGAAGGUCUCGUGUUCCCCCUUCUUGAGAGCUUCCCCCUCCGAGCCAGCGAAGUGGGUGAUCAGGGUGCUAUAAUUGAAGAAGUUCUUGUGCAGCUUAUAUACAUCUUUUUUUCAACGGCUCCUGACCAUCCUUCAUCAAAGCUUCGACGACAUGUUCGUCAAAGACCGCCUUUAGAUCUAGGUCGAAUUGAUAUCGAAAAAGGGUGGUAUCAACUGAAAGACCAGAAAGGGGAGUGCCAAGUAUAGCCGUGACAUCCAGCAUUGUUGGGCCAAUGGGGCCAAGAGGAAGGACCAUAAUGUUGGUGGCCAAACACUAGAAACUCAGGGUGGCCAUUAGGAGUUCUCGAUCCAUGUUGAUCUCAAUGGUUGAUAGCUUAAUGGCAUCAAAGUUACUGAGAAUCUUCCAAUCGCCCCUGAAGUGUGGCUCCAUCCGGGUAGGGGUGGGUACUUGGAAUCAAAAAUCAAAACCGAAACACGAAUCGAAUCAGACCGCACCGAACAGUUUGGUUUUGUGAUUUUGAAACGGUUACGGUUUCAAAACCAAACCGCAGCAAAGAAAACGAUUUGGUUUCGGUUUUGGGGUUUCAAAACCGCACCGAAACCAAAACCGAAAUCGAAACCGCACCAUAUAUUGAAUAUUGAAUGUUAUGUUUUAAUCUAUUGUUUUGUGCAGCUCCAAUCUGAGUUUUUCAUGGCAGUAGGGCUCCCAGGCUCACAUUGCUCUCAUAAUCACUUUGCUUGUUAUGUGUAGCCCCAUUGCAGUAAAUUUUAAUACCGCGGGGCUCCUAUACAAUCUGUGAUACAAACCAACAUGAUAUUCUUAAAUUAGUAAUAAAAUUGACAACGAAUUUUUCUUACUUUGAUGAGAUAUGUAUGAAAUAUUCUGGGAAAAAAUGUACAUGCUAACUCUUGGAUAAUAACUACAAUGAGCGAUGGAAAAUACAUCCAUUUGUAUGCCAUUUAUUACCAAGGAAGUUGCAGAUAAUCGAGGCUAACAUUCUCAAGAGAAUGCUAAGUUGGUAACACAACAGGAAGUAGGUGGGAAAGAAAUACUUACCAGCUAGAGUAAGUCCCUAGGUGGACAAGGCAUAGAAUAAAUUGUACAUUUUUUUUCUCAAAAACCAAACCAAAACCGUUUGAAACCACACCGAACUGAACCAAACGGUUUGGUUUCAUUUUGGUUUUGGCUUCAAAACCGCACCGAACUGCACCGCAAAGAGUUUCGGUUUCGGUUGCGGUUUCACUUGAAACCGCACCGAACCGUACCGUGCCCACCCUUACAUCCGAGUGACCCAAGCAGCCCAGACCGUGAGGGUUGAUGGCCAACUCCCUAGGGUUUGGUCAAUUCCCACUUCGACCAAUCGUAUCCUUGAAAUAGGGGUUCAAGGCAAUGCGUCUUCAACAUCUUGGUGAUUGAUUCUGGGAUGUUUUCCUUGAAAAGUGGUCCCAGAGUUUGGUGGAAAACACUUGAAUCAUCCUCACACCGGAGGGAUUCGAUGGCAUUCUGGUUAAUAAAGUCUCAACAGUUGUCGCAUUCCUCGGCGAGCUUGGUGAUAUGUUAGAGGUUUAUUUUGCUUCUUCAAGGUUGACGCUCAGCUUAGAUUUGUAGGCCGAAUACCUUAGAAGCGAGGGGGCAAUGUUUGGGCCCAAAAUAUUAUUUUGGGCCGAGCUUAGGUCAUUCUCGGCCUAAUGGCAUUCAUUUAGAAUCUUGUUAUGGGCCAUCUAGUUAAGGUCAGCCGAAUCCUAUUACGAAAAGGUUUGGUUUGGAUAAGGGUGAGUUGGUUGAAUCCUAGUGCAACAAAGAUUCUUAAAGCUAAGGACACUGAGAAUUAGGGGGUGAAUCUGGUUUGUUAAGAAGCUUGGUUCAAAGCCUACAGGAAUUAAGAUUGGUUGAAACUUGAUCGGAUUGGGUUGAGGAGUUCUAAUCCUAGUCCAUUUCUAGUUUGGCCAUGAGAGGAUUCGCUAUUAUAAAUAGAGGAGAUAGUGCAUCAUUCAAAGCUCCUCCAAUUCAACACACAAAUUGCCUUGUGCAAAGCUUCUCAACAACCUUUGAGAUUUUAUCCCCUUCCCCUUUCUUUUACCAACACAUCUUCAGUUUGGAUAAACAGUACUGUGAAGGCAACCGAUGACAUCUUCAGUUUGGAUAGACAACACUGUAGCCGUAUAAUUAGCCGACCGAGGAGCACUUUCAGUUUGGAUAGACAACACUGCUUCGAAGCCGACUGGUAAUUUAUCCAAGUCUCGGCUGAUAAGGAUUUUCGAAACCUUGUUAGCAGAGGUCAUCUCAUUAGCCUUCUCGGCGAAGUAAGGUGUUACAUGUUUCUAGGCUUGGCACAUUGAACGUCGAGUUUUGUUUUAUGAUUGGAUACUCGUAAGUAAGUUUCAGAGUUCAGCAUUCCGAUAGCCGAACCACAUUUAAAAUCAAGACAUAUAUUUCUUUCGAGUGGGCAUGCCCCACGCAUAACUAAAGGACGUAGUUAGCUUAUUAGUUACUCGGCCUGCGCGCCACGUAAACUUGAUAGUUUUUAGGGUCAACAACUUUCAUUUUUUCAUUCCCAACCUACCCUGAAUUUAAAAAUGGAUAGAAACAUAAUUUUUAGGCCAACUUUUACUUAAUUUGUUGCUCUUUGCUUUGCCACUUUUAUGCCAAGUUCUUCUUCUUCUUUUUUGUCGAUAUGCUAAGUUCUUCUUCUUCAUCUUCGUCACUUUUUAUUCUUCCAUUUGUUCGUGUUAUACUUCUAUCUUAUAUGUUGGAAUAAAUUAUGUUGAAACUAAAUUCACGCAGUGCCAUAGAAGGUAAAGACACACAAAUUCGAGUAAUCUGUAAAAGAACAAACAACCAUGAGCUAACAAAAAACUAGGGGUGUGCCAGUCAAAGGCUCUCCGAUGGUCAAGUUAGUAAGCAAUAUAAAAUUAAAGAAGUAGACAAGAAAGUAAGUAUGCGAUAAUUGUGUUACCAGAGAAAAUCCUAGAAUGAUGUAUUUAUACUAGUUGAGGAUGGGAUGUUUUAGAAUAGUAGAAUUUGUAUUAAAUCGGGAGAAUCCUAGAGGAUAUCUAGAGAUAGAUAUUGCAUCCUCUUAGGAGUGUGAUUACUUACCGCACACGUCAAUCUUUUGAUUGUAAGGACUCCAAGAUUAAUUAUAAGAAACUUGCUGAUUUCUUGCUGGAUUUUGUUUCCAUAUCUUAUGGAAAAAGGUUAGUCUCAUCGAAAUCAUCAGACUUCACCCACUGAUUUCGGAACAGGAUGAUGGUGGCAUCGCUGCUUCGUAUGUUUAGCUCCGCAUCGGAAGCUGUAGAGUCCAUGACCAAAUAUUCGUAUUCCGAUCCACCUUACUCUGGCCCUGAAAAGUCAUAGUCCAACAAUUUAUAUUGAAAUUUGUCAUGGUGAUAACUUAACUACAUGUAAUACAUAUUCCUUUCGCUUGUACAUGUCUUAAAAUUUGCCAAAUGCUUAUAUGUCUUUGCCUUUCCUUUUGUAUAAUUGGUUGGGUAUUUUUAAUUGUAGGAAGAUAGUAAUAUUUUCAUACGUAUAAUUGUUUCAUAUCUCUUUUAUAGGUAAAUGAAGAUGUUAAUUAAUCAAAUAUUUUUCGUAUAUAUAGAAUUGUAUUAUAUAUUGUUUCUCCCCAAAAAAAAAGUGCUUUAGAUAUCAUUAUCAUAGGUAAGUAACCGUAUAUAAUUAGAAAUUUAAAUCUAUAUUUAUUAUCAAAGUCAAAAUAGUCAUACAACUAAAAAAUAAAUGCACAAAUUGGGUUAAAGUUGACCACACACACACAUACACACGCGCGCGCACACACACAUAUAUAAUAUGUUUGUGUGUUUGUUUGUUUUCUAUAUGUAGAGCUUAAUUAAUUAGGUUUGCAUGGUAUACAUAGUAUCCAAGCUAUGUAGCUAUCUUAUUUUUUUUUUUAUAAAAGUUAGCCUGCAUGAUUUCUAAUCCAUCAAUGUUUCUUUGUAGUUGGAGGUGUUCUAUUUCAUGCAUGCAAUAGUAGGAGCUGUCGCUUGGUAAAAUUAACAAGGGGUUUUUGAACUUUAAUUCUUGAAGAAGAUUAAAAUUUAAUAAAAAUUUAGUGUUAUAUUGAAUAUUGAUUUUAGUCUAUUAAUAUGUAUUUAAUUCAAAUUCAUAUUAUAUUUUUGUUUUUAUAUUUAACAGAUAACUUAUUUAAUGUUAUUACAUUAAAUUUUAUUUAACUUUCUCUAAUUAGUGUACCUAAACGUCUGUAUCAUAAUAUACUUUACUAAAUUAAUGUACCAAAAUGCCCGUACCAAAAUAUAUUGUAGUGAAUUAGUGACACAUAAGAAAAUAUGUAAAAACAUAAGUGUACAGAAAAUUCCGUACCUAACUAUAUGAUACUAAACUAGUGUACCAAAAUGUCGGUACCUAAAUAUAUUAUACUAAACUAGUGUACCGAAAUGUUCGCACCUAAAUAUAUUGUAAUGAAUUAGUGGCAGAUAAGAAAAUAUGCAAAACAUAAGUGUAAUGAAAAAUCUCUAUGAAAAAUAUUUUCUUAUAUAAGAUGCUUACCAUUAGAUGAUUCCACUAAAUGAUGCCUAUAUAUCCUCGAAUCUUACUUUUCCACUCCACUACAAACUUUCAUUGUCAAAACAAAAAAAAAAAACUCCCAACUUUUUAUACGCACUUAUUUCAAAAUUUUGCCUCUCUUUUGAAUCUUUUAUCAUGGCUUUUUCAAGCAAGAAGUCUAAACCAAUUAAGCUUUCCCCCUAUAAUCUUCCUUUGACAAGAGUUCGUAAUCGAGAAGAAGGUGAGUCUUUCAUUAAAGAGCACCAUGACAUUUUGGACGACUGUAACGUCUGGUGGGAACCUGGUCAUGAUAUCUAUGCUAAUCUGCACCGUUGUUUAGUCCUUGCUGUCUUUGUACUAGAAUCUACCCUUGGUUCUUGGACUUUGGUCUUCGUUUCCCUCUUUCUGCUUUUAUGAAAGCCAUUUUGUUAUGCUAUGAUAUAGCCAUCUGAAACCUCUCUUUUACCGCCUUCAAGCUUUUCACUUGCUUCGAGUUGUUGAAUUAGUGGUUCGGGGCUAAGUUGGAUAUCCCAGAGUUUAAAUGUUGCAUAGCUUCAAACCGAGUUUGGAUGACCAUUAUUAUUUUGCUGCUAUAACUAGUUUGGAUUAGGAGACAUACAUCAAGACACCCCUAAUCACCACAAGGAUUGGUUCAAAGACAUACUAAUUGUUAACGGAGCUUAGGAGGGAGAUAUUAGCGGACUCCAGAUCCGGAUUGAUCCUCCGACCGUUUAUCGCAAUUGGAAAUGGUUGUUCUCUACUGAGCACUUGAACAACCGUAAGAAGAUAUAGACGCAUUUCAUUGUUCAGGAUUCCCUAUAAAGAAGCUAGAGUAGGUUGAUGCUCGUAAUGAUCAUAGAAAAACUCGUUCCUUUAAAACAGCAUAGACUUUGUCACCUGUCCUAAAGAAGCGGAAACAUCCUAACAAUUCUUCUUCUUACUCAUUGGUUGUGACUCCUCAGCCACAACUGCUGAUUAAGGACAUCCAUUAUAAACCCCUCUUCGAAUAAGCACGUUGCUGUUCUGGCGCCACCAACUUUUAUUGUAUUUGCCUCUAUAUCCAUAGCAAAUAAGCCGCUUACUUCACCUCUUAUCCAUUUACCUGCGGUGUUGCCCCAAUUGUCGAAGUCAGAACCUAUUGUCCUCAUUUGGUUCUUCCACCAAGUUUUAUGUUCGUGCCAUACGAAAUUGAUGUGCCUUCCAUUUCCUCAACGUCCACUUUCGUCCAUCCGCUGCAAGUGCCUAUAUAUGAACCUUCCUGCCAUAAUGGUCCUCCAUUGAUUUCCCCAUCGAGGUCCAAGGGAACAUCUCGUCCUCCCUUUAUGAUCAAACCUUUGGCUGAUCGAGUUGCUUUUGCUUCUGAUGUCAGUGGUCUUCAAAACACAUAUGAUGCUCGGGUGCUGCAUGGGGCUACGAUUGCCACUACCGAUUUCAAGGGAGCCUACACUUCUCUUAAAUGUGACAUAAUGCAGUACUAUAGGAGUCAUUAUGAGAUACCCGAAUUUCUCUCCUCCAUUUCUUUUUGUUGAUAUGUUUCCCUCGUAUUAGGUUAAUGUGUGGACGAAUCUAGGAACUUAAACGGAUUACAGAUAUAGGCAAAACGAUGAUUGCUAUCCCAAUCAUAAGAACUUAAGAACUCGUAUACCAUGUAGCAAGCCUCGAAUACCACUCAUGAUGUAGAGAUAAUUCGGGAGAUUGAUCUAGCUACUGUUAUAGAGGUAAAGGCCAAAGAUUACAAGGAAAGUUUUGAGAAGGUUAGAGACGAGCUGAGGUUAGAGAAGCAAGCCAAGACGAAGGUGGACUAGGCUCUUGUUGUCUUAAAAGGAGAGUCGGAGCGUGUGUUAGCUUUAAAACAAAAUGUUUGGGCUAAAGAGCAGGAAGCUCUUCAAAAAAAGAGGUCGAGCAUCUAUGCUAAGAGGUCGAUCACAACGAUAACAAGCCCAUCGCGUACCUUUAGCAGCUUACUAACAGGUAUUCCUCUUAGACGUAUGUAUUCCAGGAAGAUCAUAAGAGGUUACUUGAAGAGGAGUUUGACGUCAGAUUCCUUACCGAUUACGCCCAACAAGAUCACCCUAAAGGUUGGAGCGUCUUCAGAAUUUAUGAGUAGAUCAAACACAUGGACUUUCCUCCUCCGCAUCAUUUGUUAGAUGAGAUGUCAGAUUUAGAGGCGGAGCAAAAUGAAUGUGAUCUUAAAGGUAAUCCGACACCUGAUGCCCUUGGUGAAUCUUCUACUCCAUUCAAGGGAAACGAUGUCCUGAAAAAGGAUUAAUUUGCACUUGCUCCUGGGUAGGAAAGGAGACUGUCCCUUUUGCAAACUUUUUGUCGUAAUACAAAGCUUUUUCUUUCAUUUCUUUCUCUACUCGGGGAAGAAAUCUUAAUCCUAUAAAUUUCUCUAAAGUAAACGAACUUUAUUUGAGAAAUAAGUGGCGGAGCGGGUACGAGUAAGUUUGUAGGUUCGGGACAAAGCUCAUCAACUCCCCUUGGAAACAUUGAUUCAGGGGAAUGUUGCCUCCUAAGAUUUGUAUUCAUAAAGUAUUCUCAUCAUGAUAUCUAGAAUACCACCUUAUUAUGGUAUUAGGAAUUAGACAUUAAACCCAUGAGAAAACUCUUGCUCUUACACUUAUUAAAAUACAUUCAUCAGGUAUAAGAGGUCCAAAUCAUGCCUGAUAACAUCUUAGAAGUAGAGGUCGAUUACCUCAAAACUUGCAAUGUGGUGCCAGAAUGAGUUUUCCCUGGUCCGAAUUGCGUGUUCAUUUCUAGUGAAUCUUACGCAAAAGUUCUUUGGAUACAUGGUCAUCAACAUGUGAGUCAAAAAUGCUUUUAGAAUCCUUUUGUUAGACCCUAUGUGUCGGACUUGAGCGUUUAUAAUCGGACUACUUUGGUUGGCUUGACCAAAGCAUUUUCGCUUACUGAAGCUCCAUUGGAAUAAAAUUCCUCUUUGGGAUUGCCUAGUUUGAAUGCCCUCUUCGAACCUGCUAACACUUGGUGUUGUAGAGCUUACUUGACUUAGUAAAUUAGUCUGGGAUAGAAGUAGUCGUACUCGGGGUCAGAUUUUAGAGCCACCCUCAGAUAAGUUCCAGAUCGCCCUUUUGACUAUUCCCUCGAAUGUGUAGAGCCCAGGUUUGGAAUGUUAUAACCCACAACCUUGCUGGUUACAUAAACUUUCUAGAGACUGGAUGGUGCAUUGGACUUCCAGGUCAAGGCGCAAUGUUCCUGUACCCAUAGCCCACCAGUCGUUACAACACUUAUUACUGUUCGAGUCUAACAAGCUGCUAGCCGUUCCAGACGGAUAAGGCUAAAGAAGGCUCUUAUGAUAGUGUAAUUUUGAAUGUUUUUAGACUUGUAUUCGUGUAAAGUUUUCAAAGUUUGGGGCCUAUUUUUUAACGAGUGGGGUACUCCCUACAUCAUCGAAAAAAUAAAGAAAAGAAUACGUAUUUAAGACAAACAGAUGCUCGUUAUUCAUGAUCGAAGUAAAAUUGAUUGACAAGAGGGUGUGAUUGAAUCUGAGAAGGAUUGCCUACAUAUUUAUGAGAUGGAGAAUCAAAUUACUGAUAUAGUUCUAAAGAAAAUAUGAUAUAUGUAAAAAUUUACAUGAAAGAUCACUUUUGACGAUAAGCCUAUAGGGAGGCGUUGGGGGAUGAUUUCUCAAUGGACUUAUCUUCACACAGAUGGGGGCGUUACCGAACUGCCUACAUAUCUCAGGAAGGGAAUCAAACCGUGUGUAUUUCAUGUGAGAUUUACUUUGUUUUAGGUCACUUGGAGAGGCUUGCAAGGGUUUUAAUUUUCUUUCUUCAACAAGGAUUUCAUCCAUCGGCACAAGUCCUCUGGUUUCUAUGUCAUUGAACCUUUUGCUGCUUGGCAUCAAUUCGGAGUAGUGAGGUGGGAUUCUAUCUUUAAAGGGGACUUUUGCCAUGGCGUAUAACCAUUCUCGGCCAAAGAAAGCGUUGUAUAGAGACAAAUUAUCCAUCACUUGGAAAGUCAUCAGAUGUUCAGAUGGUUUUGCUUGAACCAUGAAAUGUAUUGUCCCUAUGGUGUUAAGCGGGGUUCCAUUAAGGGUUUGGACAUUGGAUCUUCAUGAGUUGACUUCAUCUAGGAUGUUAAUUGAUAGGGAUUUUUACCAUCUACAAAAGUAGAGAUAAAAACACUUAAAAAUACUUGCAAGAGUACAAGGUUGUCGUAGUAUAGUGGUUUAGGCAAGGUCGUUUUCCACCGAGAUUGAAUGAAUAAUUUGUGUUUAAAACCAACACUUAAUUAAUUAUUUAAAACAAAGUUUGGAAAAUGUUGAUUUUAGAAUUUAAUAUAAUAAAAACGAAUUUUAAAAUAAAACAAUUAAAGAAAUUAACUAGAGAACAAUUUAAAGAAAAACAAUUUGUAAAAGCCUAGGGUUCCGCCGUCCCCUUAACAAUCCUACGCAAUUUUACUAAUUACUUAUGAAUUUCCACAUAUAUACUUUGAAGGUUAGGUUUUCCUAAUGCAUAUUUUCCUUGUGUGUUUAAGCGAAAACGUAUAUCUAACAUGCAACCCGUCUGUGAUGUUCAGAUCAAAUAUAAACAUGCAAGACUCAUUAAGCUUUAUGAAAACCCUUUGAAAAACCAUGCAACCCUUAAGAGCGUGAUAUUCACCUUAAGUGAACUUACAAUUACUAAUCACAAGAAGCCCUCCUCAAUUUCAGGGUGAUGUUCCAACAGAAAUUGCAUCAAAUUACUUGUCUAAAAACCCUAAUGGUUGCGAAUCACUAAGACAAUUAGAUAGUUUGAUCGCAGUGAUUAAUAAUUCAAAGUAAGCAUGCAUCCAUUCAUAAGCAAAUUAAUAAAAUCACAUAUUCAUGCUAAGGCUUGUGGCAUCGCCCUAGCAAAAGAACUUAGUUACGAACAAUCAUGAAACAAAAUAUUAUUGAGAAUAAGGAUAGAAAACGCCUAGAAAAUAAACUUGAAAAACUCUCUAAAGUGUGCGUGCGUUCUCUCCUCUCCUUCCCUUCUAACCCUAAUGGCUAAAAGGUCUUAUUUAUACUACUACAAAAUAAAACCUAAAAAGUCUUAGAAUAAAACUAGGAAACAUAAUAAAAUAAUAAAACAUAAAAUAAAAGGUUUCCUAUUUGAACUAAAAUUCGGAUUUCUUAGAAAAUCAGACUUUUGACCGACCAAAUUAACUCUGAUUUGUCCCAAAAAGUCUCUUUUGAAAGAUGGAGACGUCCCCUACAAAUCCUCAGAAGAAAUCUUCCUCAAAAUAUUCCAUCUUGACCUUCAAAAUGCCCAAAACGUCCAGAAAGGUCAGUCUGGAAAAGCUGCGCGCUGGGCCUUUAUUUCAUAACCACGGUCAAACGGCUUAGUAGAAAAAUAUAGAAUUUUGACACAAUCAUCUUGAAAGACUCACGAACAUCCUCCAAUUAGAAUUACUCUAAAAUUAAUCUGUUUGAUCACUUUUUUGCUCCAGAGGAAAUUGAAUGUCCAACUUUAGAAAUAUAGUUCAAAGUAUCAAAAUUCUACCAAAAUAACUAGGGUAAAUUACAUAGUAGCCCCUCAGGUUUGAGGUCUAUUACAACCCCAUACAACAACUUUAAAACAUUUCACUUUCAUACAUCCAUUGCCAUUUUAUUUCAAAAUAACACCUCUGUUAGAUUUUCCAUCUAUUAGUCUGUUAAAUGCUGACGUGGCUACCACAUUUAUGCUGAUGUGGCUGCCACGUGGAAAAAAUAUUUUUUAUACAUUAAAAAUAUUAUAAUAUUAACCCAAUUAAAAUAUUAAAAAAAACAUAAAAACCCUAACCUAGAUCCCCUUUCUCCCCCCUCUCUUUUAUGCAAUCCCUUCCCACUAUCCCUCACCCACCCCCCAGCGACCUCUCCCCAAGCGACCCACAUCCCUAUCCCUAACCUAGAACCCAAAAACCUGCAACAAGAAGAAGAAAAAGAAGAAGAUGAGGGAGGAAAAAAAAAACCCCCAGUUUGUCCCCUCUUCAAAACCUGCAAGAAGAAGAAGACGAAGAAGAGGGAGAAAAAAAAGAGAAAAAAAAGAAAAAAAAAAGCCCAGUUCGCGGGAAGGUCGCCGAAAGGUCGCGCGAGGGGGGGGGAAGGGAAGUCGGUCGCGGGUCGCGGCAGAGCGGGGGGAAGGGAGAUGGGUCGUGGGUCAUGGCAGGGCCGGGGGGGUUUUCUUUUUUUUUUCUUCUUCCUCCCUCUUCUUCUUCUUCUUUUUGUUGUUGCAGGUAUGUGGGUCGCUUAAAGGGGGUGAAGUCUUUGGGGGUGGGGUUCGGGGUGGGUAAGGGAUAGUGGGAAGGGAUUGCAGAGAGGAGAGGGGGAAGAAAGGGGAUCUGGGUUCAGAGGGUGUGUAGAGAAGGAAAGAAGGUGGGUGCGGAGGAAGAGAGGGUUGCGGGUUAGGGGGGUGCACAGGGAGGGUCGACGUUUGGGGGGGGGGGCGGGGGUGUUCUGGGUUUCUGGUUUUGGGGUGGGGGGUUAUCAUUUUUGGGUUUUAGGGAACAAGAUGAAGAUGGGGGAUAUAGGUUUGGGGGUUGCUGGGAGAAGAGAGGAUUUUGGGAGUUGCAAAAGGGUGGGGGUGGGGGAGGGGGGAAGGAAGGGAUAUGGAAUUCGGGAUUUUCUAGUUUUUUUUGUUUUUUUAAUUGGGUUAAUAUUAUAAUAUUUUUAAUGUAUAAAAAAUAUUUUUUUCUACGUGGCAGCCACAUCAGCACAAAUGUGGUAGCCACGUCAACAUUUAACAGACUAAUGGAUGAAAAAUCUAACGGAGGUGUUAUUUUGAAAUAAAAUGGCACUGGAUGUAUGAAAGUGAAAUGUUUUAAAGUUGUUCUAUGGGGUUGUAAUUUACCCUCAAAUCUGAGGGGUUACUAUGUAAUUUACCCAAAUAACUAAUAUAUUAAUACUAAGAUAAGGGUAAAAUAUAUGGUAAUAUGGACUUAUCACUAAUCCUUAUAGCUACCUCCUGAAGAGGAUAUUGACUUCCGAUCCGUUAUCGAUUAGGACUCUGCCGACCAUAGUGUCUUUGAUUUACAACUUGACUGCAAGAGUGCCAUUGGAUGGUGGGUAAACAAUUUAUGGCCUGGUUAAGGGAUCUUUCAUCCAAGGUUUUCCUUGGGUCAUUUUCCUUCCCUUCUGCGCUUUCUUGAAAUACUAUUGUCUUCUCCUUAUGUGAUUGAUGCCUGGAUGGACUUCAUGCCUAGGUGUUAGGGAGGCAGUGGUUAGGGAAUUUCCCGCAGUCUUGUAAAUUACACUACUAGGAGGGCUUCCUAGAUCAACUAUUGUGAAUUUGUCGUUCCUGGGGGAGCUCGAAUAGUAGAAUUUUCAAAUCGGGUGAAGGUACCUUCUACAGUUUUCAUUCUUUCAUUCAGCCUAGCGAGCUUCACCCUUUCUCCUACUUGUAGGUUCUUCUUGAGCACUUUUAUUGACAUGUGUACCUUCAGGACGUUAUCCCAGACCUGGUCGAUGAAAGAGGCUUCUUCUCUAUUCGGGUAUACGGUUUGACCAAACAGCAAUUUUCUGGACGUGGUAUCCGUGGAGCAAAGUGGUCUGGUCGAGAGGAAUAUGGGUUUUCUUUUAAUGAAAGCACCAAUUGUUGAAACCAAAUCUACGCACCUCCGUGAGCGGCGGUUGGGCACAAAUCCGAGUAAACCUGAACAACCUACAAAAGGCUCUUCGAUAGUCAAGCAGUAGGCAAGAGAAUUCAAAUGUAUAGGUUACGUUACUGUAGAUGAACCCUAAACGGGUGUAUUUAUACUAUGAGAGAGAGACAUUUUUAGGAUAGAUCCUCAUUUUAAGCCGGGAGAAUCAUAGAGGAUAUUAGUGAGUAGAUAUUGCAUCUUCUUAGGAGUUGUGAUCACUUGCGGAGCAUGCCUAUCCCUAAAUUGUAGGGACUCCAAGACUUAUAGGAUCUGAUUGUGUCCAUAUCCAGAUCACAUCACAUGUCUUGCAAAACAAGUAUGGUCAUAUGGUGGAGUCACUAGGACUCUGCCUAGGGCCCCAUAGUAGAGUGAUGGUGGCACCCUUCUCCAUUUGAUACAGCUUCACCCGGAGUUGGUAGUGAGUCCAUGAUUGAACUCUUGAGAUAACGGUAUUCGGUUUAGCCUUACUCCGAUCCUGAAAAAUCAUGGUCCCACAUGAGCAGACAAACAUAUUUAGGUGAUUCUGUAAAUGAAUAAUUCCAUCGUGUAUUACGGUGCUCCUACAGAAAAUGGUCCCAAAUUUCUAUCACUUCCAUUCAUUUAUCAGCAAUAGCCCAAACGCCAAACCUCAUUUUUUAAAAGUCACCUGGUAUUAAGCUAAAUAAGUCAAUUAAUUAAGUAUGUAAUUGAGUAAUUAACUAAUGGUGGUGAGAUGAUGAGAAAUGGAAAGUACAAGAGUAUCCUGCACAGAACCACCGUAAACAAGGACAAGACAAGAAUGUCAUGACUAGUGUUAUUGGAGCCGCCAGCAGGUCCUCAUUUACAGCUUGUGAACGCCGACAAUCCACCAGAGUAUAAGACCAAGAAGUAUGGCUACCAUGUUUACUGUAAGAUCAACAAGCAUCCCCAGUAAAUAAAAGAAAAACUAACGAAAAGUUAAAAAAAGACUUUAGUUUUAAUGAAAAAUGACAAAUAAAGGUGUAAUGAAUAGUAUCAGGGAAAAGUAAAAAUGUGAUUUUUCGUUAAAAGUGAACAAUACCAGGAGUAUUUGUUAAAACUCCCCAUAAAUAAAUACUAUGAAGUGGGUGGUUUUUGUUUUUUUUAUUUUUAUUUCCUUAUUUUGUGUUGGUGAAAUUGUGGGUGGUGAGUACCAUAUUUGUAUGAAAUAAUAAUUUGAAGUCAAGGUGAUGAGCAAAAUCUUACUCGAUUGUAUAUUAUUAUGGAAGUUGAGAUUUGUUGUCGGAUUCGACAUUCUUCUUAUCCCUCUAACUCACAACAAGUCUGAUCAAAUUCUCAUUUGGUGUCCAAGAUAAAUUUGAAUGAAUAGCCCACAAUAUUUAUUGUAUGUUGAACAAACAAAUGAAAAUUUUGUAUCCAAUUUAAAGUAAAAGAUGAAUUACUCAUACAGAAAACUUGUACAUUCAAAUUUCCUCCAAAAUGACAAGAUUCUUUGGGACACUUUGGAUGCGAUCCCUAGCUAUCAAUAUUCUUUGAUUGAAACCUUGUUAGUUUUUAGUUUUUGAUUGAGGUCCCUGAUAUUAAUGUAAUAAUGUAAGUUACUAUAUUUUUUUAAUUAAAAAUUAAAAAUUGAAAUUUGUAAUUGUUUAUAUUAAUGAGAUUUUAAAUAAAACCCAUAAUUUAUGGGAUUAAAAAUAAUAAAAUAUAAAUUAUUCUCUCUAUUAUAUUGUGUGUGUGUGUGUGUGUAUAUACAUAUAUGUAUGGGUACAUUAACCAAAAUUAACAAAAAAAGUUAUUGUACCAAAACAUGGAUACAUUCUCAAAUCAACGAAAAAGAAUGUACCCAUAUAAGUUUAAACAUGGAUUAAAAAAUUUGAAUGGAUUUUAUAUUAAAAAAGGGUACAUUUUACAUAUAACAAAUUGAUAUAUUUGAGAAUGGGUACAUUUAAGAUUAAAAAAAUUGAAAAAUUAUAUGAAUGGGUACAUUUAAGAUUAAAAAAUUGAGAAUCUUUUUAUAUAUAAAAAAAACUAAUAGGUACAAACUUAAUUUAAUUUAAUUUUUUAUUAUUUUGGAAAUGUUUGAAUUGAAAAUUAAUUAGAAGUUUAAUAGAGGUGUGAGUAUUAAACCCUAAAUUAAUUACUAAUUUUUAUAUUAAAAAAAUUAUAUAAUAAACAUGUAAAUUCAUUAUCACAUUAAUGCUAGGGACUUGAAUCAAAAUUAAGAACUAAUAAGGUGUUAGUCAAUGAACAGUAAAAACUAGGGACUGGAUACUAAUUUUUCCUUAAAAAUAUAACUUUCAUUCAUAUCUACUCAAAAUGAAGAAAACCAUUUACCUCUACAUUCAUCUUUAUGUACUUGGAAUUUUACGAGUUAUCUAUUACAAUCCUAGAAAUCAAAUGACCUUAAGAAACAAAGAAUCAGAAUAUUUAAACUUAGGACAUUGGAUACAAAAGUGUAUAUUCUUAAUCACUACAGUUCAUUUCUUAAACUUUUAUAGUUUAGAAUGCAUAAUCUAUAAAAGCUUUAUUUACAGAAGAAAAGAAAGAAAAUGAGGAGACACGAUUGAUUUGUACAAAAAUAAUAUUGUACAGGCAAAGUCACAUCCCAGAACCAAUUUUGGGAGAGGUUUUGUUUGUUUGCAAGUAAAACAAGUAGAUGUUUUUAACCUUUUACCCUCCAAAACAAGUUCAAGAACGUUCUACUAGUUAGAACAAUAAUAGUAGGGUGGAAUGCUGAUUUAAUCUCUGAAUUAUUACCUCAGUGAAAAUUAGGUCCCUGAAUUAUUUUUCGGUAAAAUAAGUCCCUAAAUUCAUUAAAAAUUGCUAAUUUCAUCCAUACUACUAUAUUAAAAGCUAGUUUAUCACUUUUUUGUCAACUUAAGUCACUUGACACAUUUUAAAGUAAAAUACCAACAUUUUCUCACGUAUAAGCCAUUAACAUUUCAUACAGGUUACCAAUCUAAGGUCUAAUUUUUACCCUCCAAAGUUAACUUCAUAUACUAUUUCUUUAUGUAAAAUUACUAAUCUACUCUCUAAUGUGUAUCAUAUGCAAGUACCUUGACUUAAGUUGACGGAAAAUUGAAUAUAAUAGCUUUGAAUAUAAUAUUAAGGAUGUAAUUGGCAGAUUUUUAAAAUUCAAUGAUUGAUUUUCCUCAAAAAAAUAAAAAUAUUAAAGACCUAACUUUUACUCAGGUGAUAAAUUAUUCAGGAACUAAAUUGGCAGUUCACUCAUAGUAAUAAUGACAGACCCCGACCUAAAUCAGGGCGUGCUAAUCGUCACGUGAGGGUGACGUAGCCAUGUGCACAGUGUGGAAGCAAUAGAGAUAAAAGGAAAUGUGAAUGAAUAAAAACCAUACUACUAAAAGUCCUAGCUAAAAUAAAGUGCUAGUGUGAGAUUAAGUGUGAAAUACACCAUCAAAGCAUAAAUAGUCUAAGUGCAGUUCAACUGGAUAAGUACUAAUUAUAUAACACCCGAAGGUGAUCCUACAUUUAAUAUUCUGUAAGAACCACCGACGAAAUCCCCAUGAGCCACCAAAGCACUUCUACUUAAAAUCUGGAGGGGCGCAAAACAGAAAGUGUGAGUGGGCAAAAACAAAGCUUUUCAAAAUCAGUUCAUUUAUCAAAAAACGCUAACCCCUUGUCGUAAAACCUGUAUAAUUUCCUAAAAAAUAAUAUAUGUUAUAUCAGAAAUCAUGCUCAGGAUGAAAAUCCAUAGAAAUAUAUCAUGCCAAAGUAUCUCAAAGAAAUGCUAUAAAUUAUUCAGUUAAAAUAUAUCAAUACCAGAUAUCAUAUCAGCCGGAUCCACCUAACAUGACCUGCCCAGUUGAGUUUAUAACUCAUAACCAAUCUUAAUCAUAUCAAAUCAUGCACACGAGUCGGAAACACCUAACGUGGUCUGUACGACAAGACUAGGUGUAAAAUAAAUAUGCUCUAGUGCUAUGAUCACGUGAAGACUAUGCAUAUGAUCACGGUUCACCUACGAGUCAGAACCACCUAUAGUGGUCUGUAGGACAAGCCUGUGCACCUAACUUGGAUCCAAGGUAAGCAUAUGGUGCAGGAGGUGAACAUCACAUGAAGGACUGUGCCUUAACUCUGGGCAGGAGCACUAACACCAGGGUGCAGGUUUAUGAGCUCUCAUUGCAUCACAUCAUAUCUCGCAUAACUAAAUCAAUCUCAUAUAUUUAAUUUAUGAACUUACCUGGCACUUACCUGUGCGUCCGCAGCACCAAUCAUAAAUAUAUGCUACUAUUAAUGCAUAAAUAAAAUAGGCAGAUACUUUGUAUGGCAUUUCAAAACGUAUAAUCAUUCAAAUUCAUUUUCUGGGAAAAAUCUCAAGUAUAUAGGUAUAUACGGAAAACCAAAAGCCCACUCACCGGUAUGUCGAAAGGUUGUAGCCCCCGAGCCUCGAAUGAUGGCGCUCGUCCUCUAGAUAGGUCUCACCUAUAUGCGAAAUAACUAAAUAAAUGUUAAUUAAAGCACACAACCACAAUUAGCUAAUAACUUCUUAUACAAUGCUCAAAUGAGGUGUUUGAAUAUACCAACGUGAUCUACUCAACACCACGAACAUCCCCAUAUUUUUAGAAAAAAAUUUCGAGCAUCCAAACACCCUCACGCGCUGGCCAAGGCACGGCUAGACAAGCGGCCCACUUGCAGGCACGUGCCUGGCACACCAAACGGAUUCCCUAACGGCGUUAAGGAAUAUUCCGUUAAAAACCAACAUAUACCGUUAAAAUUACCUGACAGCAUUAGCAUAUUCCGUCAACUUUGACGUAAUAUUCUCCUUCUUCCUCCUUGGUUCGCCGGAGUCUAGCGCCAAUGCCGUUGCUAUCAUCGGAAACUGGAAAAAUCCUAAAAACUUCAUAUCUUUUUCGAUUCUCAACCAAAAUUCAUGAAAUUUGUCUCAAAAUGAAGCUUAGAGUGAGUAGAACACAUUCUUACCACUUUCAAGCCUUGAAAUCCAUGGAAACUCGCCAAAGAAACCUCGAUAAUCCUGCCAAAAUUUGAAACUCGUCAAACUAAGCUUCCCGACGUCCAAAACAGUCCAACUUUCUUCCCCGAGCUUCGUGAAGACGUCCUAAAACUCCCUGGAACCUUAAAAGUCAAAGAAAAGUCCACAAUCAUAACUGCAUGAACAGUGCUCAAAAUCGGGAUUCUUGGGUUCUUGAGUUUUUGAAGGAUUCACGUUCUAAAAAUGGUAUAGAUGUGUUCCUGAGCUCACAAGGAACAUGAAGAUGGCUUCCAAAACCUCGAUUUGCGAUUAAUGAGCUAGGUUCGAGUUUGUCCGUACGGUUGUACGAAAAUGGAAAAAAAUCUGAUAGGGAGGAGAGAGAGAGUAAACGGGAUUGGUUGGUGUGUGUGUAUGGUCUAGCUUUGGGCUACUAACAACAACAAACCAUUAACUUUAAGUUCCGAAAACUUAGGAACUUAACAUAUUGGUCCACCUCUAAAAGUACGUCACACACAACACAUCUCAACGUUUAAGGGUAAAAUAGACAUUUCACACUAUCGAUAAAAAUAAUUUGGGACUGGCUGUGACAACCUACCUUCCUUAAGAAAAUUUUAUCCUCGAAAUUCACACAACAAAUACAAUCCACUAAUAAUCAUAAAACAACCUUGCAUACAUAUCCCUCAUCCUGUCCUCUGUCUCCCAAGCAGCUUCUUCCAUUGAGUGAUUUCUCCAUAAAACUUUCACUAAGCGCACGGUCUUGUUCUUCAGCACCUUAUCUUUCCAAUCCAAUAUCGUCACUGGCUCCUCAUCAUAAGUCAAAUCUGGAUUAAUUUCCAAAGGUUGAGGAGGUAUCACAUGUGACGGAUCUGAAAAAUAAUGACGAAGCAUGGAAACAUGGAAAAUGUCGUGCACUUUAGAUAACUCUGGAGGCAACUCAAGCCUGUAAGCAACUUCACCGACUCUCUCGGUGAUCACAUAUGGUCCGAUAUACCUAGGACUUAACUUACAUUUCUUCCCAAACCGAACCACACCUCUCCAUGGUGAAAGCUUAAAAAAUAUCCAAUCACCCACUUUAUACACCCUGCCAAUGGCGUGUUUUUCUGCUAAACUCUUUUGUCAAUCCUGGGCAGCUUUCAGGUUAGAUUUAAUUACUUGAAUAUUCUGAGUAGUCUCAUCCACAAUCUUAGGGCCCACCAAAACUCUUUUGCCAACCUCUGACCAACAUAAAGGUGUACGACAAGACCUGCCAUAAAGUGCCUUAAAUGGUGCCAUACCAAUACUUGAAUGAAAACUAUUGUUGUAGGCAAAUUCCAUUAAAUCCAACCGCUUAUGCCAAACGUCACUAAACUGCAAUACUGAAGAUCUCAGCAUAUCUUCCAGCGUCUGAAUAGUCAUCUCUAAUUGUCCAUCUAUUUAAGGAUGAUAUGAUGUACUAUAAAGUAAUCUCGAACCAAGAGCUUCCUGGAAUGCUAUCCAGAACUUAGAAGUAAAUCUAGGAUCACGAUCCGAGAUAAUACUAACUGGAACUCCAUGGUACUUCACAAUCUUCGAUAUGAAUAAUUUAGCUAAUCGGCUUAAAGAAUACUUCUCCCUCACAGAAAUAAAAUGUGCCGACUUAAUAAGCCGAUCAAUUAUCACCCAAAUGCCAUCAUAACCAUUCUGUGUACGAGGAAACUUGUACACAAAAUCCAUAGUAAUAUUUUCCCAUUUCCACUAUGGAACGGGAAGUGGCUGCAUCAAUCCAAAAGGUUUCUUUCUUUUUGCUUUGACAUGCCACCUACUCACAUAUUCGGCAAUUCUCUUUUCAUACCUGGCCAAUAAUAAAAUGGUCGAAUGGUAUGAUACAUUUUAGUACCUCUUGGAUGCAUUGCAUAAGCUGAAAUAUGUGUUUCAUCAAGAAUUGCUUUCUUUAAUUCCAUAUUAUUCGGCACAUACAUUCUACUUUCCUGCAUAAGCAUGCCAUCAGUUUCUCGAAUUCUGAAGUCUUUCUUCUUCCCCCGAUUCCUUGCUUGAAUUAUUUCCUGGGUCUCUUCAUCAUCCAUCUGGGCUUCAAGUACAUGAUCAAUUAAUAUUGGCCUGACUUGAAAUUUUGCAAGUAAGGCUUCCUCUCGAUCUUCCACUCCUAACUUCACUCCAGUGGACCUUAAAUCCGUAAGAAGAGGAACAUGACAAUCAUAAAUGACAUUAAGUCUAAUUGAAGGAACUUCAAGAUCAAGCCCCAACGACCCUUUGAAGGAACUUCCACCAAUUCAAGAUCAAGCCCCGACGGCCCUUGAAGAAAGCGUUCAUCGUUCAUCAUCCGUUCAUCCUAAGAUCAAGCCCCAACGACCCUUUGGAUCAACAACAUCAACAAAUCCACAUAUCCAAUCGUUUUUCAAGAUAAAGCCCAAAAUCCCUUGAAGAUCCAUUCAUCAACUGUUCAUCAAGAUCAAGCCCCAAAGGCCUUUGAAGAUCCGUUCAUCAACAAUUCUUCAAGAUCAAGCCCAAAAGCCUUGAAGAUCCGUUCAUCCAUCAACCUUCAAGAUCAAGCCCAAAGGCCCUUAAAGAAACUUCCCUCAACCUUCAAGAUUAAGCCCCAAUGGCCCUUGAAGAAAACUUUCAACCGUUCAUCCAAGAUCAAGCCUCGACGGCCCUUGGAUCAAUCGCACAUCCACAAAUCAACACCUUACGGAGAUCGAAUCAGAGGAUCAAAUUUGAGAGAGAUUGUAACCCCUAAAUCAUUAAUACAAAUAUUAUUUUGUACACGUGUUCUUGUCUCGUUCGUUUAGAAAUUUCCGUGUUUACAAAUUUGGCACGCCCAGUGGGACGUUCUCUAUCUUUGAAUCCGUAAAAAGCACAAAUGGCAUCAAAGAAGACUCAAGUCGCUCUCACAACCAAUGCAAGGAAUAAGAGCGUCAUCACCGCAGGUGGUGUCACUUCGGGCGUCACAACUCGAAGCAAGGCAAGAGCUCUUUCUGCCGCCUCUUCUAUUCCUGCAUCAACUCUGCCGAAGGAACAAGAGCACCCGAGGCACGAACCUAUGAUCAUCCUGGCCUCGCUAAGGGCGCUAAGGAAGGAAAGCCCAAGGAAGUACUCUGGUUCCAUGUUUUCCGAUGCCGACUCAAGCGGCAGCUCAGCCAUGCAAGUCAUGACUACUAGAGCAACUUCAAUCGAUGAGCAGUUGGCUCAUAUGAAUGAAGCGAUCGCAAGGCUAACACGGAUUGUGGAAGAAAAAAACCAGCAAAUCGUCUCACUCGUCAACCAACUAGAUGUAAAGCCCGACGUGAAAAUCGAGCAAGGGGAUGAUCCAGUAAAGAAGGAAAACGACGAGGAUGAAGAGCCUCAUGUGGAGAAAGUCGAAGAGAAACUAAAGCUAGACCAAUCAGCGGUAUUCAUAGGAUCUCUCUCGAUCCAGCAGCUGCAGGAGAUGAUCGCCAGCACCAUCAAGGCACACUACGAAGGAAGUUCACAUGACUCCGUACUAUACUCAAAACCCUACUCCAAGAAAAUUGACGUUUUGAAGAUGCCGAGGGGUUAUCAGCCACCAAAGUUCAUGCAGUUCGAUGGAAAGGGAAACCCGAAGCAACACGUUGCACAUUUCGUCGAAACCUGCAACAACGCGGGGACAUAAGGAGAUUACCUCGCCAAGCAGUUUGUACGCUCGCUGAAAGGAAAUGCCUUUGAGUGGUACACGGACCUAGAGCCUGAGUCCAUCAACAGCUGGGAGCAAUUGGAAAGAGAAUUCCUCAACCGCCGCACUGUGAGCAUACUAGAGCUGACGAGCACAAAACAAUGGAGGGAUGAGCUAGUUGUAAACUACAUUAAUCGAUGGCGCAAUCUAAGCCUCGACUGCAAGAACAGGCUCUCAGAGAUCUUUUCAAUCGAGAUGUGCGUCCAAGGCAUGUAAUGAGGGUUACACUAUAUCUUUCAAGGUAUUAAACCACGGACCUUUGAAGAGUUAGCCACCCGUGCCCACGACAUGGAGCUAAGUAUUGCCCAUCACGAGAAGAAAAAUUCGAUCACCGACUUCAAGAAGGAUAAGGUGUUCUCCCCAAAUGUAGACAAGACUGGGAAGAAACCCCCCAAGGAAGCGUUCACCGUCAGCACUGCACCUGUCAAGACCGCCUUUGCACCUAUCAAGAUCUCCUCCAAAACCAAAGCAAAGGAGAUAAAGAGAGGUGAGCCUCCUCGCACCCAAGAAAGGUACAAAAGCACCUUAAGGGAAUUGGAGCAGAAGGCGUACCCUUUUCCUGACUCAGACAUGGAUGCAAUGUUAGACGACUUGCUGGAAAAGAAGGUAAUCAAGCUACUCGAAUGCAAGUGGCCUGAAGAAAUGAAUCGCAUAAACGAUCCUAAAUACUGCAAGUACCAUCGAAUCGUGAGCCAUCAUGUGGGUAAGUGCUUUGUCCUCAAAAAGCUCAUCAUGAAGCUAGCAUAACAAGGGCGAAUCGAGCUCAACCUCGAAGGCACGGCCGCAACACAUACUACUACAAUUACAUUUGGAUCUUUCGAUCCUGUACCUCUUCAAACAACACUUGACCAUUCCUAUCAAUGCUCAAGUUGCACGAUACCUUAUGCGCAACCAUCGCCGGGGGCAAACGAACAAGAUGCACAUACCGAUGAUGAAGAAGGAUGGACAUUGGUGACCUACAAAAAAACAAGGAAACCAAAACCACAAGCCAUAAGACCAAAUGUGGAACAAGUGAGAAAGCAUCGUCGCCGCAACAAUAAGAAGCCCAAAAGAAACAUAAAAGCUGAUAAGCCAACAUAUGUUGGGGAACCUAUGGAGCAAGAGACACGCAUUCCUGUCUCCUUGCAUGAGUAUUUCUCGAAUGACUUCUUCCAACAGUGCACUAUCGCUGCAUGCCACAUGGUCGAAGUAGAAAUGGAAGAACCUUCAAAAGGCAAAGAUAUCACCACUGAGGGAGAAAAAACUCUCACGCUCGAAGAAGGUCUGCCAAUACACCUUAGCAUUGAGGAAGCGCUACGAUUGCCAAAGAAGAUGCGAAGAGCAUUAACAGCGGUCUUGGAAAGUCCCAAUGACCACGAAGCGCAAGAAAGCAAAGACGAAGGCUUGAAGCUUCAACCACAUGAAUACGCCACAUGUUGUGCCACCUAUGAUGCAAUCAACUUCACUGACGAAGAUUUACUACUGGGAUCAAAGCCUCACAACCGUCCUCUUUUUGUCUCGGGAUACGUAAAAGAGCACAAAGUCAACUGCAUGCUUGUGGAUGGUGGAUCAGCCAUCAACAUCAUGCCAAAGUCAACAAUGGCUACAAUCGGCAUCAAGGUGGAUGAACUGUCCUUAAGUCAUAUACUAAUCCAAGGUUUUAAUCAAGGAGGACAAAGAGUGAUGGGCAUGAUCCGUGUGGGGAUGACUAUUGGUGAACUCAAGUCAAGCAUGAUAUUCCACGUGAUUGAUGCAAGAACUUCCUACGACUUGCUCUUAGGAAGGCCUUGGAUCCAUGCAAAUAGAGUAGUACCGUCCACCCUUCACCAAUGCUUAAAAUUCUACUGAGAAGGAGUGAAGGUGAUCUAUGGUGACACCAAACCAUUCACCGAAGCCGAAUCACAUUUCGCAGACGCCAAGUUCUACAUGGAUGAAGACAUGGUGCCCAAACACCGUCAACAAUAAAGAAUGUGACCUCACUGAGACUCAAAAGAAGUUGAAGAAGCAUGGUUACGGAGUUGACAACGACAAAGCUGGACUUGGCUUCACACCAAAUGCACACGUGAAGAUUUCAAGCAAAGCAAAAAAUGCUAGCACUCAACACAUCAGCGUGAACAUUGAACAAGAUCAAUAGAAGCUUAAGUCCGCCCUUCGGACGUUAGUCUUUGAUAGGAUGAAUCGUUCAAGACCCAGAACGUCAGCACUUGAUCGCAUUGGUGGUCAAAACCCAACCUCCGUCUUCAAGAGGCUUAACAGGCCAACAUCCCAGCUCUCCUUCUCGUCGGUCGACUUUGGAAAGACUUGAAGACAACAGGAAGUUUUCUAGAAAUAGGGAGACAACGUCAAAGGAAGAAAAGCUCAACAGGCUAGCAGAAAAAGGCGAUAUUUGAAGCUGAAUUCCUUCAAGGAUGAAGUGCCAAGCAAUCUUGAAGGUUGACACAAAUGGACCACUGAAAGUAAGAAGGUGCAUCAUCAUCCGCACUGGACAAUCUUCAUGCCAACAAGCCCAAGAGGAUGACACUGAAUGGGAGAUCCAAGACAUCUUCCUCGUCACAAUUCAAAAAGGUAAAGGAGAUGAAAUCCCUAAGGAAGAAGUCACCUCUGUUUCUUUCGACUCAAAGUCGCCACCUCAAUCGCUAGGGGCAUGCUCCAAGUCAAGCGAAGUUGAAGGAGGGACUCAUGUCGCUUCAAAGAAAUUACACAUAAAGCCUACGUCACAUUCACAAAUGCACCAGUUGAAAAGGGGGCAAGAAACCAUUGUUAAUACACUUUCAAGCCUGGAUGAAGUUGAGAUCGACAACAUGAUCGAAGGUGAUCUAAUUUAAGAGGUCGUGGAUGCAGGACGAAACUUAAAUGUUGCCUUUAAAAAAUCAGGGGAACUCCGCGCUUGCAUAGAUUCUCGUAACUACAACACCCGAAAGAACAACACCGAAUAGGAAGUCCAAGAUGUCUUCCACAUCACGGUCCAAGAAAGCAAAGAAGACGAGAUCCCCGAAGAAGAUGUCACUGCUGUGCCACUGCAACUUGAGGAUGGGGGGAAUCCACGGUUGAUGAUCUCAAGGAGCUCAACUUAAGCACAAAAGAGGAGCAGAAACCUAUCUUUGUAAGUGCGCUGCUAAGUGCGGACGAGAUAGAGGAGUAUUACCAAUUGCUAUCAGAAUACAAAGACGUCUUUGCUUGGACCUACAAAGAAAUGCCUGGCCUUGACCCUAUCAUUGUUGUGCAUCAUCUUGCAGUCAAGCUUGGAACGCGACCGAUAAGGCAAACUCAAAGGCGUUAUUGAUCCGAGUUCAUUCCACAAAUCGAGGUAGAGAUUGACAAGUUAAUCGAAGCAGUCUUCAUUUGGGAGGUGCAAUACCCCAAGUGGAUCUCCAACAUCAUCAUCGUCCUUAAGAAAUCUGGACAAAUACGUGUUUACGUAGACUUCCGGGACCUCAACGACGCUUGCCCGAAUGACGACUUCCCCUUGCCAAUCAUCGAAAUCAUGAUGGAUACAACCACUGGCCACGAGGCACUGUCAUUCAUGAAUGGCUCUUAUGGAUAUAAUCAAAUUCGUAUGGCUCUCGAAGACGAGGAACUAACAGCCUUCCGCACUCCAAAAGGUAUUUACUGCUACAAGGUGAUGCCCUUUGGUCUGAAGAACGCUGGAGCUACAUAUCAACGUGCAAUGCAGAAAAUCUUUAAUGACAUGCUACACAAAAACGUAGAAUGUUAUGUAGACGAUGUGGUGGUCAAGACAAAGAAAAGAUCAGACCGCUUGAAGGAUUUGCGAAUGGUGUUCGAAAGGUUGUGAAAAUACAACCUCAAGAUGAACCCGUUAAAAUGUCCAUUUGGCGUCACCUUCGGAAAGUUCCUUGGCUUCAUUGUCAAGCAUCGUGGUAUUGAAGUUGACCGAUAAAAAAUCAAGGCCAUUCAAAGCAUGCCUGAGCCAAGAAACCUGCAUGAGCUGAAAAGUCAACAAGGACGGCUAACCUUCAUCAGACACUUCAUCUUCAACCUUGCAGGGCGUUGUCAACCGUUCAGCCGACUCAUGAAGAAGGAUGUUUCGUUUGUAUGGGACGAAACAUGCCACAAUGCUUUUGAAAGCAUAAAAAAGUAUUUGUCAAGUCCACCUGUCUUGGGGGCACCUGUGCCCGAGAAACCACCAUAUUGUACAUCGCCGCUCAGGAAAGUUCAGUUGGAGCACUCUUGGUGUAAGAGAAUGAAUCCCAGAAAGAAUGAGCGCUCUAUUACCUCUGCCGAACUCUCACCGGCGCCGAGUUGAACUACUCCCCAAUAGAAAAGAUGUGCCUUGCCUUGGUGUUCGCCAUCCAGAAACUCAGGCAUUACAUGCAUGCUUACACCAUCCACUUGGUUACUAAAGCUGACCUAAUCAAAUACGUCAUGUCCAAACCAGUCUUGACGGGGUAACUCGCUAAAUGGGCAUUGCUUCUUAACCAGUAUGAGAUAAUCUACAUCCUAACUAAAGCUGUCAAGGGACAAGCACUAGCAGACUUUCUUGCUGAUCACCCAAUCCCAGCUGAUUGGAAAAUCUCAGACGACUUGCCUGACGAGGAAGUGUUCUACAUCGACAUCUUCCCGACAUGGACGAUGUUCUUCGACGGAUCUGCACGAGCAGACGGAGCAGGGGUAGGAAUAGUAUUCAUGUCGCCACAAAGGCAGAUAUUACCUUAUUCAUUUCAACUAAGCGAAUUAUACUCCAACAACGUCGCUGAGUACCAAGCACUGAUCAUCGAACUCCAAAUGGUGAUCAACAUGGGAAUCAUAGCCCUUGAGGUAUUUGGCGACUCCAAGCUCAUAAUCAAUCAACUCUUAACCGAAUAUGAGGUGAGGAAAGAUGAUCUUGUCCCAUACUUCCGGCUGGCAACUCAACUGCUACAAGAGUUUGAGAUUGUGACACUAGAACAUAUGCCAAGAAAAGAAAAUCAAAUGGCAGACGCUCUUGCCAACCUAGCCUCAAGCAUGACAUUAGGAGAAGACGAAGCUGCAGACGUGCCAGUCUGCCAAAGAUGGGUGACCCCCCUCGUCACCGAAAUGCUAUUGGAUGAUACAAAUGUCAUCUCAGUACUUCCAGUCGAUGUUAAAGAGUGGAGACAACCGCUGAUCAACUACUUAAAGCAUGGAAAACUUCUAGAUGAUCCUAGACACCGCUCCGAAAUACGUCAACGAGCACCUCGCUUCCUUUACUACAAAGAAACACUCUACCGGCGCUCUUUCGAAUGAGUACUUCUGAGAUGCCUAGGCGAGGAAGAAGCCAAUCAAGCCAUGGAAGAAGCACAUUCAAGCGUGUGUAGGGCGUAUCAGUCUGGACCAAAGCUGCAUUUCCAGCUCAAAAGGAUGGGUUAUUACUGGCCAAGCAUGGUGAAGGACUACCUGGAACAUGCCAAAAGGUGCAAAGCCUACCAAUUCCAUGCCAACUUCAUACACCAACCACCUGAGCCAUUACACCCUACAGUUGCUUCAUGGCCAUUCGAUGCAUGAGGAUUGGAUGUCGUAAGACCAAUUACCCUAAAGUCAUAUGCAGGAGAAGCUUACAUUCUAGCUGCAACAUAUUACUUCUCCAAGUGGGCUGAAGCCAUACCCCUAAGGGAAGUAAAGAAGGAAACCGUCAUCCAUUUCAUCAAGGAGCACAUCAUCCACUAAUUUGGGGUACCUUGCUACAUCAUCACUAAUAACGGAAAACAAUUCUCCAACCGACUCGUGGAUGAGCUCUGUGAGAAAUACAAGUUCAAGCAACACAAGUCUUCCAUGUAUCAUGCUCCGGCCAACGGUCUUGCAGAAUCAUUCAACAAAACAUUGUGCAAUCUUCUGAAGAAGGUGAUCGGUCGAAUAAAGAGAGACUGGCAUGAAAGAAUAAGCGAAGCACUUUGGGCAUAUCGAACGCCACAUAGGACUCCUACCCAAGCUACGCCUUAUUCUCUUGUAUAUGGCGUGGAAGCUGUUCUACCGCUCGAAAUCCAAAUCCCCUCACUAAGAAUGGCUAUACAAGAAGGCUUGACUGAUGAAGAGAAUGCAAAGUUGCGCCUUCAAAAGUUGGAAGCACUCGAUGAAAGAAGGCUCGAAGCUCAGCAACAUUUGGAAUGCUACCAAGCAUGGCUAUCCAAGGCAUUCAACAAGAAGGUCCGCCCAAGGUCUUUCCAAACUGGAGAUCUCGUCCUCACAUUGCGUAGGCUUAUCAUCACAACUCACAAGACAAAAAGCAAGUUCACAUCAAAGUGGGAUGGACCAUACAUAAUACAAGAGAUCUACACCAACGGCGCCUACUUAAUCACGGCAGAAGACGACUUGAAUAUUGGCCUUAUCAAUGGAAGAUUCUUGAAGCGCUACUACCCCUAAAAGGCGAUAACCAACGCUCUUGGUUCGCACGAGCCUAAACUGCACAAACCAAAGCUCCUGGCCCGCAAAAGCAUAAUCUGUAUACGGCAAAAUCAUCAUCAAAAUCAUUGUUAAAUUCAUCGCUCAUUUGAACUACGUUAUGACUUGAUCCCUCCUCAACUGAGGGUACGUAGGCAACUUGAAACUUCAAAACUUCAAGUACAGUCACACCAUCAAAACUUCAAAAAUAUAAAUACUUUAUUUCUUUAAAAGAAGAAGUCGGCUCCAAAGCCUUAUUACAAGAAAAAUAGAAGAUACUACUUGAAAACUAUGUCCCUAAAACUACGAAGGCGAUCUUCAAGCAAGCCUUCCAAAGUCUUCAAAGUCUCUACCUCGGUGGGAGACAAGAUGGGCAACUCCAUAGUCAUGCCUUUCUCUCGUUUUAGGCGUGAAAUCUCCUCCUGGUACUGAGAAGGUGUAGUUCCCUGCUCCGAGAGAACACUUUCAAGUUGCGAUGCUUCGAUUACCAACUGCUCUCGCUCUUGCACCAACGCAUCUAGACACACUUGGACAGAAGUUAAAGAAGUAUCUGUGAAUUGAUAAUCUCCCGAAGCAGCUUGCUGAGAAGACCGGACUUGAGCCAGUGACAAGUUUAUUGUUGCUAGCUGAUGAGCUAUAACAUUUGGACUCAACUUAUCCAAGGAAAUAGCACGCAAGGAAGAAUACUCAGUCGAGGCGGCCAUAAGGUCGGCAAUCUUGAUCUUCAACGAUGAAGAAGCAACGUUAAGGUUGUUAAUCACAGAAACAAGCUUCGGAAAAUCCUCUUUGAGCAACAUAUGGUCUUCCAACGGGCACUUAGAAAUCCUCUUCUCUAUAUGGCUCUUGAUAUCCAUUGUCGCACCAAGACUAAUGCGAUGGAUGACUUGCUCAGUACCGCUAAGGUUCGGCCCUCUCAAAGAAAUCUCAGAGCUAGCUGGCAAAGGUGUUGGACGCAUGACGGGUCGCCGAUCCUCGAUCUCCCUGUCUGUAGGUAGGUAUCCUACAAAUAGCAUCUCCAUAUAGGAAUAAACAUCUGCAGUUGCCAAAUCAAAAGGACGAGAAGGCCCAGCCUAAAGAAGGCAAAGAAAGAUGUUAGAAACAAAAGCCAAAAUGAUGAAAGCAGAAGAAAUCACGAAAAAAAAAAAUUGAAGUACAUACAUCUCUCUCAAAUGACACACGGUCAUCAAAUCGAUGAGGUCUAAACACUUCCUUCUUCUUAUGAUGAAAAUUGACAUCGCUGUCAACAUGAGCAUCCUCAAGUGGUCGCUUGUUUGAAACUUGUUCACGCUGCUGCAAAAUAAAUCCAUCUUCGUGUGAAUCAACUUCAUCUCCCACCUCUCUAGAAGCAUUCGGAUGUCGAGGAGACAAGCAAGGGCGUUGAUGAGCUAAAGCUACAGGUCUAUCUUGUAAGGGAGCCGUACUCGCGCAAUCAAGAGGUACCAGUUGCAUAGGAACCACAAGACAACCCUCUCUCGACAUAUCAUCACCUAAGUGAGAAUAAUUGGUAUCACUUGCCAUCCCCAAGCUCUUAUAAUGUACCUUUGACCACCAACAUGCGUAAACACGGGUCAUUGGAUUACUUUUGAACUCAUCAUUGGCUGGCAGCGUGAUAACAACAUUUGUGCAUGCACGGGUACAAGACUAUCAAUGCAUGUACACGGCUUGCAAGGAUGCCAAUUGGUUCUUUGCCUUCAGCUUGCCUGGCACAUUUUGGACAAAGCCAAAUUGCUUGCUGAAACGGUGGGGAUUAUAUGGCUGAACAAUGCAUCGGUCUUCUUGCCGUAAAGAAACAAACCCCGAGCGAAGACUUAUAAGAUAAGACAAGUCUGAGAAGCGGAGACGCGAAUUGUCUACGAUGCCUCGCCGCACCGGGCCAUCCUUAAAUCUUUAAAUCUUCACAACGUUUAAAUAGCGCUCGCGCUUGCAAAUCAUCAAGGCUCUUCGCGGAGAGCACGCUAGAAUACUUCGUCAUCAAAGGCCUCAGUUUGGCUCUAAUCGAUGAAAAAGACAUUGACUUGUCUAAAGUCAACAAAGAAAAAUGAGUGCCAAAAUAUUCACCCAACCAACCAUACACAUAGUGGUAAGGGAGCACUGCAGCAUGAUCUUCAGUGCUUGCCGAGUUCGAAACAAUGCUCAAGCCAUUAUAAAUGUUGGUUAAGACCGGAAUAGCAAGGCUAAAAGACUCCCCUGCAGCCAUCUUGCUAGCAACCUUGAAAACUCCAGGACAAACUAAGUUGACGUCGCCUGUUAGGAAAACAAACUUACAAAGCCAACAAGCUAAGAAAGCAGCUAGGUAAGACUCUUCCACAUGCUCUGAUGUUAUGCCAAGAUCCUCAAACGCUCUCAACUUGUCAGAAGAACGGCGCAUGGUUGAGCCAAUAACACCGGACGGGUCUGAGUCUCCCUUUGGCCUAGUGGUUUUAUUAUGGCCAUUUUUCUUCAAAGGCUUCUUAUACCUCAUGGCCUCCCAGUACCAAAAUCGGAUCCAUGAGGAAUUCCUCACGCCUGAUUUACCUUGAGCAUCCUGGAAAAGCUUGUGAUACGCCCAAAACAAACAGCGGCAACUCGCAGGCAAUCCUCGGUUAUAGCAAAGAGAAAGUUCAUUCACGCUGAGAACGACCUCGUCGUAAAACUUGCCUUGGAUCGGCAAGCCUCUUAUCCUGUGAAGAUCCCAAAGUGAAAUUGACAUCUCCCCUUGCGCCGUGUGAAGUGUGUUGGUCGUCGAACACCAAUGCUCAAAGAACGCACGAAGGACGGAAGGAUGGCGAUCAUAACUAAACAAAGAUGCGUACACAGCGUGGUAAAGGCCCACGUUAGUAAGCACAUCUUUAGAUCGGCUUAAGACAUCUUCAAGCCACACCCAAUAAAACUCAUCAGACGGCCUCUCCAGUGGUCGACAGGGUACCAUUCCAAGCCAUAGCUCCACUGCGGAUAUGAUCACCAAGAAGCUUAAACGAGGCCGAAUGAUUGUCAUGAUUAUGGUGCGAAUGAUUCAAGAUAAGAACCCUCGAUAUGCACACCUUCUUCUUCAUAUUUGGUCGAACAGAGUCUACCACCUCCCAAGAUACUUCAGAAGACCACGACUUAAUAUGCAUGGAGUUGUCUUUCGCGAGAAGAGCAAGCGCCUUAUAACCAGUCAGUGGCGUGUAAAGCUUCAACGUUGUCCCCUCAUCUUGCGAAUCGCCGUCCUUCGCAAGAAUGGUGAUGGUGUUGCUCUUAAAACACUUAAAAAAUACCAUGACUGCAAAAAAAAAAAAUCAGCCACAAAACUUGAGCACCACGGCAAAUAGGGCAGCUACAGAGCGUUCCUUUAAAGCACGCUACACUGGCGAAGAAAACCAAAAUGCUAUGCAAUCACACUACGUAACCCCGCUGCAGGCUCUUGCACAACACCACACGGCAGCGCACUACCAAGGGAAAACUGUGAUCAAAAGGCACUACACAGCAAAACCCCGUUACAGUCUCUGGCACAAGCACUAGGCAACCUGCUCACUCCGCCACCAACAACCAUGUCUCUAAAAGCUUCGUGAGAGUCUCGGCAUCAUGCUCUGCCUUCAUAAAAAAUAGACACAUCGUAUUUUAUAUAUAUAAGACAUACAUACCCACGGCAAGUGGCAAGGUCAAUGUGCAUGGCAACGUCACCACCAAGGAAAGUUGUGACCAAAAUGCACCACAUAGCAAAAUCCAGCCGCAGUCUUUUGCACAGCAACACGUGGUCUGCUCCAAGCUCCAAGCUCCAAGCUCCAAGCUCCAAAGUUCACCAGUUCGACAAGCAGCAAAGCAGAGAAGAACGUUCACAGCAGAAGGAGGUUAUGUCUAUGGUCAUUUUAUAAGCUCAACUUGUCCGUCCAAGUGAAGAAAAGAAAAGAAAAGAAAAGAUAUAUAUAUAUAUAUAUAUAUAUAUAUAUAUAUAUAUAUAUAUAUAUAUAUAUAAAAAUAAUAUAAUAAAAAAAUUUGGGUGCUUCAUGCACCAUGUAAAGAAAAUAUAAAAUAUAUGUAUAUAUUAUUAAAAAAUGUAGGUGCUUCCAGCACCAUGCAAGAAAAAUAAUUUAAAAAAAAAGGAAAAGCAAAAGAAGGUGGCCGGCCAUCAUUUAAAAAAAUUGUAAGGGCUUUGGGUGCUUCACGCACCAAGUUUUGGAAUUCUGGAGGUGCAUGUGCACCAUGCAAAAAAAAAAUUAAAAAAUUAAAAAAUUAAAAAAUUAAAAAAAAAAAAGAAGAAAAGAGAAUGAUAGUCAUCUUUUGUUAAGGGAUGGUGGUGUCCAGAAAGCAAAAGGGACAAACAUUCAAAUUGGGAAAAAGAAGGAAAAUAUUGAUGGUGCCAGUCUCACCGACAGUGAAAAAUACAUAUAUAUAUAUAUACACACACACACAGAAUGAAAUAAGGCUCAUUUAUUGAUUUCUCUGAAAAUUUACAUAAAUGUACAUUUUACAUAUGAAAAAAAAAAUUAAAAAAAAAUUAAAAAAAAUUAAAAAAUUAAAAAAUUAAAAAAUUAAAAAAUUAAAAAUUAAAAAUUAAAAAUAAAUACAGGAGGGAGCUUUCACGAAGGUUGCUCGUGUGAAGCCUCAUCACUCUGCGAAACUCCAGGAAAACUUUGGAGGUUGACUGUUUAGAGCCUCAACAUUCAGUAAAACUUUGGAGGACGAAGGCAAUAGAUGCCUUUGAAGUAAAGCCACAAACGUCCGAUGGUCACUCUGAAUCUGAUCUUCAGAUUCCUGCAGCUGGUCGAGCUUUCUUUUCAUGUUCGUUGAGUAACUAUUGGCAAGCAUGUGCAACUCUUUGUUUUCAUGCUUAAGCCUUCUAAUCUCUUGCUUAAGACUCGCCGCCUCAGCCAUCAGUGACUCGACUUGACGAGUUCGAGCAAGAAGGCGUUGGCCCAUAUUUGAUACAGAGCCCGCACACUGAACACUAAAAGCCAGAGAGUCCUGAACAGCCAAUCAUUAGACCGCUUGGAAAAGAUCCUAUUGUCCUUAGGGGUGAGAAGAUUCCUAGCUACCACCGUCGCGGUUAUGUCAUUCUUCAUCAUAGAGUCCCCAACUGUAAGAGGACCGGUGGCGGAUAAGAAGGACGGGCGCCAUACGUUGUCUGGAGAAGACAUAUCAACAUCUUCCCCAACAUUCAAAUCAAGACGACGAUCAGAUGGGCAAGCCAUUUGCAAAAAUGAUGAAAGAAGAAUAGGUCGUGUAAGUCGAAUUCUUAGAAAUGCAAAAUAAGGGAAAUUCCUAACAGGUAGCGACUCUCUAAGUGUGUUUUUGAACACGAUUCAUGCCUCUAUAAAAAGAAGAGGCAACAGGGCCUGUUCAAAAAUCGAAGAGGCAAUGUGGUCGUUCAGAAACCAAAGAGGCCCCUCUCCCCGAAUUUCAAAAAACUGAGCCAUUUGUUCAUAAAUCGAAGAGGCAACAAGGCCACCAGUUCAAAGAUCGAAGAGGCACCACUCUCUGAAUUUCAAAAAAGACCGGCUUUUCAGGAUUUGUCACCAUCCUUCACACGCAACCUCAACUUUGCGGAAAUCACGCACAACUUUGUAAAAGAUUUCUGACAAAGCUGAAAACGCGUGAAUCUUACUAUUUCAAUUACCCAACGGUUGCCGACAAGAGUAAAGGAAUAGUGCCACUACUGGCUAUUGGGAAAUUCCUAUAUAUGUCGACCUUCACCCUCCAUAGCAAGGCAGACCUGCAAAAAUGUCCAACCCUUCCUCAUUUCCGAGAGUACACUCCCAGCAAAGCCUAUUGAAAUACCCAGUUUUCUUCCUCUCCUGGAAUACCUCUGUAAACAAAUGACACCAAAGUAAAAGUAUCCCAUAUCAUCAGGGUAAAAAGCAAGAGUAUCUCAUAUCAUGCAAUCUCCCUAUCCUUUUCUUUGUCCUUGUUCUUACCUGCAAAGACAAGGAUAAAGAAAGCAAUAUGUCGGAACCUCCACUCAAACUCCGGGUAAGGAAUCGACUACCUGGAACCUUUGCCUGGUUGCUUACCUGGCAUUGCUCUAAAGUACUCGUCUUAAACUGCUGAUGUACUUCCGAAGAAGAUGCCACAUUUGCCUAGAGAACAGAUAAGGCAAGUGAAAAUGAUACCUUGAAGCAUGUGGAGACAACGUGUUGAUUUCCUUCAAGAUCAAGUCUCCCCUUCCCUGCACAAUCAAGCAACCCAGCAGAAGAAGUCUGAGUUGAAUCCAAGAGCUCGAGCUGCUUCAACAACAUAUUGACGGCAUCAUCAUCGAAGAGCAAAGCCUCGCUGUGCAACGCUGUCAAAAUUGCCACCAUUUAUUCGAAAGCAAGAGUAUUUCAUAUCAUGCUUUCUCUAUGUCCUUGUCUUUGUCCUUGUUUUUACCUGCAAGACAAGAAGAAGGAGAGCCAUCAGUCAGAACUUGAAAGUCAAACUCCCAGUCAGGAACCGAUUGCUUGGAACUUUUCCCUGAUUGCUUACGUAGCACUACUCUCGAAGUAUCCAUUAUCUCAACAUCUUAUACUUCCAGAUAAGAUACCACAUCUGCCCGAAGAACAGAUAAGGCAAGGGAAAAUGAUACAUUGAAGCAUGUGGAGACAAGCACAACAAAGCACAACAAAGCACGUGCCAAUUCAUCUGCUACUUCUUCAAAAUCAAAAGUAUCUCAUAUCAUCAGGGUUUCAAUCACUCUGGGUAGUGGACUCGUUUUGACCCUCAAAUUCUUGGGUCGACUUGCUAGGCGUUGUGGGCUGCACGUGCCGAUUCACCACCCUUGAAUCAAAUCCUUAAAGAUCAAGUCACCAACUGGAAGAAGAGCCCAUCAAUCUUGAAGAUCAUACCGUUGACCAAACUCCUCAAGUGUGAAUUAGAAAGAUUGAACAAAGCAACAAGUCAUCACCUUCACCUCGUGCCUGCUUGCCAUGUGUUCGAGUCAACCUUCAAGAAUCAAGCCUCAACGGCCCUUGAAGAAGCUUCCAGCCAAAUUCAAGAUCAAGCCUCGACGACCCUUGAGGAAAUCACAAGUCCGAUUCAAGAUCAAGUGUCUACCACCCUUGAAUCAAAUCCAGUUCAAUAAUAAGCUGUGGAAAGUCAACAAUUGGAGGAAACCAGAAAAUCCUCCAACCUAGUUCAAGAAUAAGCUUGUGGAAAGUCAACAAUUGGAGGAAUCCAGAAAAUCCUCCAACCCAGUUCAAGAUCAAAGCUGUGGAAAGUCAACAAGCGCAACAAAAUACGUGUCAAUUCAUCCACUACCAAAGCCAAGGAUCAUAUACCACAUGAAGCUCCUUGUGGUCUAAUUUCAACCUUCAAUAUCAAGCCUCGACGACCCUUGAAGAAAUUUCAAACAAAGUUCAAGAACAAGCCUCAACGGCCAUUGAAGAAAUCUCUAACCUAAUUGAAGAUCAACCAUCAAUGGCCCUUGGAUCGACAUCUACAUUAAGGGACUUCAAAACGCAUCUUCUACACAUAAUAAACACGUGUAUACAGCGUGCCUUGAAGUGGGGGCAUUUGUAGACAUCGAAAUUUUGGUGAAAUAAAUGUUGAUCAAUAAUUAAAAUUUCAACGUUCACGUGUCACAUAAAUUUUACACAUAGCAGGUGACUCAACGAAAAAUCGAGAAUCAUCAAAAAAGUCAUCAAACAGGACACGUGUCAACACCUGGCAGAAACGAUUUAUUUCAUCUGAAUAAUACAUUCAAAAUUAGGCUUUGGAAAAUUCUAUAAAUAGAAGCCAUUUCAUUCAUUUUGGGGACCCCAAUUCAUAACCAAUUCACCUCACACCAAAACCUUGAAGCUUUGAAACUCCAAAGCCCCAAGCAAAUCCCGAAAGAUCAAGAAAGCUCUCUUCGUUCUUCGUCAACCCAACCUUCAAGAUCAAGCCCCAACGGCCCUUUGAAGGAACUUCCACCAAUUCAAGAUCAAGCCCCGACGGCCCUUGAAGAAAGCGUUCAUCGUUCAUCAUCCGUUCAUCCUAAGAUCAAGCCCCAAAGACCCUUUGGAUCAACAACAUCAACAAAUCCACAUAUCCAACCGUUCUUCAAGAUAAAGCCCAAAAGCCCUUGAAGAUCCAUUCAUCAACUGUUCAUCAAGAUCAAGCCCUAAAGGCCUUUGAAGAUCCGUUCAUCAACAAUUCUUCAAGAUCAAGCCCAAAAGCCUUGAAGAUCCGUUCAUCCAUCAACUUUCAAGAUCAAGCCCAAAGGCCCUUGAAGAAACUUCCCUGAACCUUCAAGAUUAAGCCCCAACGACCCUUGAAGAAAACUUUCAACCGUUCAUCCAAGAUCAAGCCUCGACAACCCUUGGAUCAAUCGCACAUCCACAAAUCAACACCUUACGGAGAUCGAAUCAGAUGAUCAAAUUUGAGAGAGAUUGUAACCCCUAAAUCAUUAAUACAAAUAUUAUUUUGUACAUGUGUUCUUGUCUAGUUCGUUUCAGGAAUUUCCGUAUUUACAGAUUCAACUUUAAAUUAUAAACAGUCUCAAGAGGUGUCCUCUAAGGAGGACGAAAAGAAGACUGAAUAGCAUUAGCAAUAGCUUCUCCUAAUUGAGCAAUAUCGGGGAAACUAGGCUCAACAGCGGGACGUGGAUCUCUACGAGGCGCCAUAGUUCUGACAGAAGACAUCAAAAUAAUUAGAAAAUUCACAAGAUAUGCAAGACUGCAAACCUAAGCUCUGAUGAUGGUGCUCGUCCUCUAGAUAGGUCUCACCUAUAUGCGAAAUAACUAAAUAAACGUUAAUUAAAGCAUACAACCACAAUUAGCUAAUAACUUCUCAUACAAUGCUCAAAUGGGGUGUUUGAAUAUACCAACGUGAUCUACUCAACACCACGAGCAUCCCCAUAUUUUUAGAAAAAUUUUCCGAGCAUCUACGCACCGGCCAAGGCACAGCCAGAUGCACGGCCCACGUUCAGGCACGUGCCUGACACACCAAACGGAUUCCCUAAUGGAGUUAGGGAAUAUUCCAUUAAAAACCAGCAUAUACCGUUAAAAUUACCUAACGACAUUAGCAUAUUCCGUCAAAUUUGAUAGAAUAUUCUCCUCCUUCCUCCUUGGUUUGCUGAAGUCCAGCACCGGUGCGGCUGCUAUCGCAGGAAACUUGAAAAAUCUUUAAAACUUCAUAUUUUAUUCGAUUCUCAACCAAAAUUCAUGAAAUUUGUCUCAAAAUGAAGCUUAGAGUGAGUAGAACACAUUCUUACCACUUUCAAGCCUUGAAAUCCAUGGAAACUCGCUAGAGAAACCUCGAUAAUCUGGCCAAAAUUUGAAACUCGUCAAACUAAGCUUCCCGAGGUCCAAAACACUCCAACUUUCUUCCCCGAUCGUCGUGAAGACGUCCUAAAACUCCCUAGAACCUUAAAACUCGAAGAAAAGUCCAUAAUCAUGACUGCAUGAACAAUGCUCAAAAUCGGGAUUCUUGGGUUCUCGGGUUUUCGAAGGAUUCAUGUUCUAAAAAUGGUACGGAUGUGUUCCUGAGCUCACAAGGAACACAAAGAUGGCUUCCAAAACCUCGAUCCAUGAUUAGUGAGCUAGGUUCGAGUUUGUCCGUACUGUUGUACGGAAAUGGAAGAAAAUCCGAGAGGGAGGAGAUAGAGAGUCAACGAGAUUGGUUGGUGUGUGUGUGUGUGUGGUCCAACUUUGGGCUACUAACAACAACAAACCAUUAACUUUAAGUUCCAAAAACUUAGGAACUUAACAUAUUGGUCCACCUCUAAAAGUACGUUACACGCAACACAUCUCAAUGUUCAAGAGCAAAAUAGACAUUUCACAUUGUUGAUAAAAAUAAUCUGAGACAGGCUGUGACAAAUAAUGUUUAAAAGUGGUCCAAUGUUGGUUGUGUACAAAUCAUGUGGUGGUUGGUUGGGGAAAAUAUUUAUAUUUCGACAAGUAAACCAUUUUUAAGGAAUUAUGUAAUCAUAAAUUUUUAAUUUAAAUGGAUGUGCGGGGCUGUUUUUUUUCUUUCUUUUUCGAUAGACAUGAGGCGUGUGGGGAUUCUGCUUCGCUAUUUAAAAUACGGUGUACUUGUAGUUCAUUUCAUUUAUUGGUGAAAUAUUUAGGUUUAAAUCUGGUUAACGAAUAAGCCAAAUUAAAUUAUUAUAGUUGAUCUAUUGUGUGAUUUGAACCUAUAUCAUCAUUUUUAGUGUAAAUUAUAGCGUUAUAAUUUUUUUUUUUAAAGUCAUGCUGUUUUAUAAUAGUUUGAAUAUCUGGAAUAAAUCGUUUACCUUUACCUUCAUCUUUAUGUACGUGGAAUUUUACGAGUUAUCUAUUACAAUCCUGGAAACCAAACGAGCUUAAGAAACAAAGAAUCGGAAUAUUUAAACUUAGGACCUUGAAUACAAAAGUGUAUAUUCUUAAUCACUUGAGCUACAAUUUCUUUGUUAGACUUUUGUAGUUUAGAAUGCAUAAUCUAAUAAAAGCUUUAUUUACAGAAGAAAAGAAAGAAAAUGAGGAGACAUGUUUGAUUUGUACUAAAUAAUAGGGGUGUGAUAUCUACACAUCACGUUUUAACUUCUCACACACCCUCUUAAUUUCUAACCGUUAGAUCGAAUGAAUUAAAAAAAAAAUCAAAAGACAAAAAUAAUAAUGCUUAAAGGUGGUCCAAUGUUAGUUGUGUAAAAAUCAUGUGGUGGUUGGUUGGGGAAAAUAUUUAUAUUUUCAAUUUAAAUGAACCUGUGGAGCUUUUUUUUUUUUUUUUUUUUUUCUUUGAUAUUUUGAUACAGACAUGAGACGUAUGGGGCUUGUCAAAAGAGUCAUUCUUCUUUGUUAUUAAUUCAGUCUAGUUGUAUUAUGUUUUAUUAAUAAAAUAUAUAGGUUUAAAUCUUGUUGACUAAUAGGGCCGAACCAAAUAAUUAUAUUUAAUUUAUUGUGUGAUAUUUUCAUCAUCUUUAGUGUAAAUCCUAUGGUUAUAAUUUUUUUUUAAGUCAUGCGGCUUUAUAACAGUUGAAUACAAUAUUGCAAUAAGUGCGAAUAGUGUCAAGAGACUAAUGUGAAACUUUUGUUGAAUUGAAGGACAUAAAUUGACCGAAUUUUUGUUCUAGGACAUAUUCUAAAGUCGGGAGCAAGUUCAGGGAUGAAUUCUCAUUUUCACCUUUUUAAAUCUUUCUUUGCUUAUAAAAACAGAUGAAUACUUGUAUUAUGUGGAAAGAUUUACAAUAUAUGAAGCUAUCGAUUGAAAUGUAAAUGUAAAUAUUGUUGAUGUGAUAUUCAAGUUGUUAGGAUUUAAUGUGAGUCAUUGAAUCAUAGUCUUUUUGGUAUCUUAGAUUAGAUUUCAUUAAGUCAUAACUCAUGACAAGUGUAAUCAUCUCAUAAGGUGACUUAAGAUUGAAUGGUUAGGAUGAUUUUGUAUGGUGUGAUAGAGUGAGAGAGUGUGGUGCUCCUCCUCUAACGAUAAUAUAUUAUUUGCAUGCAUAUUAAAUUAUUAGUCUCUGUGAUGAUAUGGUAGUUGGAAGAAAGUUCAUGUAGUAAAAGAACAAAAAACCAAAUCCCCUCCUUCUUUCCUGCAACCCGCACCUCCACCAGCGUUUUUUUAUCAGGAAAACUAAUGAAAAGGGCUUGAAAACUUUGAGUUUUAAUGAUAAGGACAAAAUAAAGGGUAAAGUGAAUAGUACCAGGAUUGACUUUUUAGUGUAAAAAUAUGGUUUUUCGUUAAAGUGAACAGUACCGGGAGCUUUUCGUUAAAGUUUCCUUUUUUAUCUUCCCCCAAUCAACUUUUUAACCACUCAAAGCUGUCCUAAAAUCCCUUUUCUUCUUCUCUCUCCUCAAAACCUUCUUCUUCCCUUCUUCCUCCCCCAAUCAAAUUUUAAACCCCUCAAAGCUAUCCUAAAAUCCCCUUGUCUUCUUCUCUCUGCUCAAAACCCAAAAAGCCUGCGUGCGCUUCCAACAUCCAGGUUGCAGACAGGUUCGCGGCGAUCUGCAGGCUGCUGGAGCAGUAGAUUUUGCAUUCGGCUUCCUCCGCUAACAAGUCUUAGAUUUGGCAACAGCUCUAGCACUACUCUCAGUUCCCCGAUUUCAAUAACUACCUUGCUUUCAAUCUCGCACGUGCCGAGGUAUGCUCCCCCUCCCUCCACUUCCCCCCAAUUGUGUAUUCAUUUUCAAUUUGAGUCAGUAGGGUUUGUGUUUUUGCUUUUCAAUUUUUAUUUUUUUAAGAGAGAGAGAGGGAUGGGGAAGAAAUUACAGGGGGAAGAAGAAAGGUGGGGGAAGGUUGGGGGAGACUGGUGGUGAAGGAAGGCUGGGGGAGGGUGUGGGUUGCAGGGAAGAAGGAAGGGAGGGUUGGGGGAGGAAGAAAGGAAGAAGAAGAAGUAGAGAGAGGAAAAAAAAAAAAAGAAAAAAAGCUGGAGGGUGCGGGUUGCAGGAAGAAGAAGGGGAUUUCAGGGUUUUUUUUUUAUUAUAAUUUUUUUUAAUAUAUAUUUUUUUAAUGAUAUGUGGCAUCUAGUCAUUGUCCACGUGGAACAACAUGAUCAGUUAACAGAAAACUUAACAGUUUGACUAACGGAUGAAUGAGACUGUCCCAAAAUUUACACUUUAGAUAUAACUCUAAAACGAAAAAAACUUGAUGUACCAAAUGUUGAAAACCACAAAACAUAAAGGUAGUAAAGGGAGUUACCCUAAAAAAAAUUAGAAUUUAAGUUCUUGUGGGGAAGUUUGUUAGUAUUUAUGCCAAAAAAUGAAACUUCCGUCAACUCUCCUUUAAUUAUUAACACGUGAGCUAUACAUAUUAGGCUAAAACAAAAUUCUCCAUCAAUUGUUAGCAUGUGGGGCUUAAAUAUGAGGCUAACUUUAUUUUUUAGUCUCAAAUGUGAGUUUCAUAUGCUAACAAUUAACGAAGAGUAGACGAAAUUUUUAAUUUUGAAUCUAAAUCUAAAUAGAUUUCACCACACGGACUUAAAUCCUCUUUUUUUUGUUGUUAUGAUUUAAUGUGAGUCAUUGGAUCAUAGUUCAUGUGGUCUCUUAGAUUAGAUUUCAUUAAGUCAUAACUCAUAACAAGUGUAAUCAUCUCAAAAGGUGACUUAAGAUUGAAUGGCUCUGAUGAUUUUGUAUGAUGUGAUAGAGCGACAAGUGUGAUGCCCCUCCUCUAACGGUAACAUAUUCUUUGCACGCAUUUGGUGUGAGGAUGAUAAUCCAAUGAGAAUUUCAGCUGUGAUACUUCUUUGCAAUUGUUGCAUCACUGCAAUUCCUCAGAAAUCAUUCCAUUGAAAUCGUACACUCAGAAUCAAUAUACUAACAAAUCUAUUACAAUGGAUUUCCGAAUUACUCGUUUCCCCAUGUUACGCCAACGCAUCUGUAGAACGGUAAGAACUUGGCCGGUGUUAAAGGUAGGCAUUGGUAGCGGUUGGUCAGCCCAAUCUGGUGAUAGUUCCACGAGAUGGCUGAAACUUACAUGAAACCUGUGUAUACCCCCAUCUGUAUCAUCACGAGAGGACGGAGAUAGAUGAGGAUAUAUUUUGUCUCUCCCGCAAGAGUCUGCUACACACUCAAGAAGCACCACGGUGUCAUGUUUUUGAUCCUAAUGAAGACCGCGCGGGUUCGGCGAACAUGCUCCCCGAGGCAUAACCAAAGAAUAAAAAUCAAAACAAUGGCCUGAGCAUGCUACUACUUAGGGGUGGAUUUUUUUGCCUAAUUGCCGUGCCAACCGAAUUACCAACCGUGCCAUACCGAUUUUGUGCCAAAUUUUUUUGUGCCAAUCGGUAAUGGUACGGUAUUCUACCGUACCGAAAUUUCUUGGUACGGUAUUGGUAAUGGAUAUCAUUACCACGGUAUUACCUUACCGUACCGAACAUAUAAUAUAAUAUAUCAUUUAUAAAUUAUAUAAUAUAUAAUUAUAUAACACAUAUUUAUAAUAUUCUAAUAAUUUGAUAUGAUGAAAGAGGCUCAACCUCGGUUCAAGAUUCCAAAUAGGAAGAAGAUUGCGGCCAAUGUGUGGGAUUUAUAUGUGUUGGAGAAGUCUAAAUUAUUUGAAGCAAUGCAUAAUCAAAAGGUAAGUAUCACAACCGAUACUUGGACAUCAGUACAAAACAUUAACUACAUGGUAGUUACCGCUCACUUCAUGGAUAAUGAAUGAAAGUUGCACAAACGGAUCAUAAACUUCAUAAAGAUCACGGGUCAUAAGGGAGAAGACAUUGGGAAAGUUCUAGAGGUGUGUUUGAACCAAUGGAGGAUAGAGAAGAUCUUUAGCAUGGGGGAAACUUCUAUUUGUUUUGGUUCAUAACUUCUAUUUGGAUUGUAAGCUUAAUUUUCAUCAUGAAUCUUGAUACAUCAUUUGAAUUAUUGUGUGUGUGAAUUGUAAAUGAUGAAUAAUAGAUGAAUUUAGGCUACAAUGUAUGAGAUACAGGUACAAUAAAAAAGUUUUGCCCUUGAAUUGGGUUAAAAAAGCAAGAACAAAUUUUGUCCCAAAACAAAGUGGCAAUUACCAUUGCCAUACAAUGCCAACCGAACAUUUGGCAAUACCGAACUUCGAUAUACCGAAAGUUUGGUAUGGUAAUGGUAAUAGAUUUUACCAAACCGAAAGUUUGGUAUGGUAAUUGGUACGAGGGUUUUGGUACGGUAACCGUACCGAACCCACCCCUACUACUACUUGUAUGCCCUUGUCCAAACAGGUACACAAUAUAUCAGGAUUCCCAAACCAAACGAGGUGCAUAUCGUAGCUGUGGCAUAUGCGUAUGCUCUCCAUGGGUAUUUGCUUUCUCUCAUCGCGUUGAACUCAGCGAUGAAGGUAGAAACAGUACUAAGGCAACCCAAAAAUCCAAAUUGUAUGCCUGUUGCAACAAUGUCGCAAGUCUUAGUAUUCACCUGCACAAACAAAUAGUUCUGCACGUCAGAUUUUCUAUUAAAAAGGAAAAAACCGUGGGCAUGGAUCAAGACAACGUAUGACAAAGGUAAUGCAGUUCGAAAAACAUUACAAUAGAGAAUAGUACGGUUCAAGAAUUCCCCAAGAAGCUUUUAAAACCUCGACGAGAAAAAAAAAAACCCAAAAUAACAAAUUUAGCAGUUUAUAAUAUGACGAAUAUAUGUGAACAGUAAGCUUGCCGGACACGAGACAAUAACACAUGAAAGGUAAUGGUGAGGAUGAAGUCAUGGAGUGGAUGCGGACAGAUAUCAUAUCAUAACAGCUUACUGCCUUCUUCACAGUAGACAGGGCUGCCAUUACACAAGCUGCAGAAACAUUGGCAAUUAAAGUACCAAAUGGAACCCAUUUCAACAACCCGGUCUUUCCUAAUCCACAUCCAUUAAGCCGGGCUAAGAACCACCGGAUCCACACACCAAAAGGUCCAACUAUGCAACCCAACCAUAGUUGCGCCUCGCUGCUGCUACUGUUAAAUUCCUCUCUCAACAGUACUCCACCUAUGCUCCACAGAGAACUUAGCAUCAGCAACAACACUACUAAAGCUACCAAGUGACGCUUGUAGCUGUCAACCCUCCACCUCCUUCUAGAGCUGGUAAUACCACAGACUGAGCUUCUCUCAAGAAUCUGCCUAAAACCCUUUGCUGUCUCUACCCCAAAAAUGAUGGAGUAGGCCGCAAGAAACAAACCUGACAUCCGUCACAUAAAAGAGGAUCUCAUAUUAGUCCAGUGAUUUGAGUAACAUUGAUUGAAAUGAAAUUUAAAUAUCCUGUUUGCCAAAGCGAUCCACAUGUCUACUGCAGCAAUUCUUUAGAAUAUGACAUCUUACCUAUCAAAAAGCCGAGCAGAGCAAAAACCCAAUGUCCUUCAACACUGAGUUCAAGCAUUUUCUGGUUCCAACCACUAAAAGUUGUAAGGCUUCCCAAGUAACCAGUUGUUAAUCCGAUGACCAAAUAAUCUGACACAUAGGAUAUAUCUCUUUGAAAACAACACCCAAACACCCCAUCAAGAAAGAGCCAACCUACAAAAAUGCAUUAGAAACAAAAAUUUGAGUUGGAACAUCAUCCAGCAUUUUCGGCAUCACAACCAUUGAGAACUAUGACAUGAAAAAAAAAAAAGAUGAUGGGAAAAAAGUAUGGAAAGAAAGGUGUUAAGAAACUUGAUAAUACUUCGGCGAUCAUCGUACUGUGUGCAUCACAAGUCCUUCCUAAUACUCAUAAGUAACAGCUUUACAGAAAACAUGUUUAUUAACACAACACUACCGAAUAAAGGGCAUAAUACAUUUGUGUGUGUGUGUGUAUGAUCGUGUGCAUGAGAGAGAGAGAGACCAUAUUAGAAGGAAGAUCAAGGUAGAGAAUGGUUUUGUCGCUUGUUACACCAACAACUCCAGGGCCAAACAAUUUUUGCAGAAGAUAUCUCGUUAAGACCUGCAUACUGUAGCAUGUCAAAUAAUCUAUUUAAUAUCUAGGUUUCCAGAUUUGAAGAAAGAUCUAAGAAGAUGUAUUACAGUGACAUAUUCAAUUUUUUCCAAGACAAACAGAAAUAUGAACAUGCCAGUGCAUCAUCAAACAUUUUUGUGAACAAAACUUAUGUAAUUUUAGGGGGUACAAUAGACCGGAUACAAUUUGUCUGCAUACCAAUUACACAGAUUUUCCACACAAGAAAAAAAAAUAGCACGAAAAAGUUCGCAAUACAAUUUGCCAAACAAAUGCAACAACAGCUAUAAACCCAACACAUUAGGACUAAAAAAAAUUUACAUCGGUAUUUAGUAAGAAACAGAGUUAACCGUGUUACCCCAAGAAUGCCAAAAAAUGCUAAAUGAGUCAUGCAUGAACCAUAUUCCAAUAAUUUUGGCAACCUUGUUGUAUUUUCCUGCAUAUGAAAACAAAAUAAUUUAAGUUACUAGCAUGAUUCGACAAAAAGAAAAGAAAAAACUCUUAACAUGUUAUGAUCAAUGAAAAAGAAAGCCAAAUGGACAAGGAUCUCUAACAAACAUAAUAUACAAUAUGAAUUUUAUCAACCGAAAGCUCACUGGCUUUUUGUCUUCGGAUAUGAUCGCAUCAGUGGAAAGAGGAGAUAUGAUUUCCUUUGGCAAGGGAGUGACAGGGGAAAUUGCAGGGUCACGACCCCAUAAUCCAUAGGUUUGCAGUUGAACAUACUCUGAAGGAAACAGGCAGACGCUGCCAAUCUCACUGUGCCUAUUGCUGUGAAGAGCCCGAUCGCCAAUAUCUCCUGCCUCUGACACACAUUCACUUUCAUUGUCAUCAUCUAUUUGAGAAGGCCGAACAUGUGAUAAACUUAAAGACCGCCUCCUUAAUGAAGAAGUGGCACCGCUUGUUCGAUCAUUGGAUACGCUUCGUCUGGGUUUAGUGUCAUUAGUCCCACGGUACCCUUCCUCCAUAACCACAGCGCUUGAUUUCUCUUGAAGUGACUUCACAAAUAAUAACAAUAAAAUCCGAAUGUUGAUUAUUUAGAGAGCUAAAAAUGAGAGGAACAAGUCCAGUAGAGAAAAUAAUGCAAUUAUUGUGCUACAAACGUUGAAAUGCUAUAGUUUGUACUUUGGAAGGAGCCCUAACCACUCCGUGUGUCAAAAUAAUCAAAAGAUUUGCAUACAAACAAACGGCGACAACUCUUUCAGCUUUAAUAAGAAUAAGUCAAGACCUUAAAAACCAAAAAAAAUAUAAAAAUAAAUAUGAAGUAUAAUGACAAAACUUCGUACAUAAGCUCUAGCAGCCAUGACACGAGCAAAAAGAAAGAGACAAAACUGAUUCGUCAAGAUUUCCACAAAAUUCAUACAUCCUAUAGCUCUAAACAAAUCCAUUCAGAUAAUAUUUAUUAUGCUACGUAUUAAGAUUAUAGAAUUAUGAAUGAUGUCACCGUUUCAUCUAUUCAUCUAAAGGGAGAAUGUACGCUUUAUUUUUCUACUUGUCAUCAAGUAAGAAGAUACAAUAAUGCAAUUAGACUUAGUUUUUCGUCAACAAAAGAGUACUGUUACACUGCAGAAUUAUGUUUAACCACAGAAGAAACAAAAAUAAUUGCUCAACUUUUUCAAUGACACCACACGAUUUAACAACACCAACAAAAAGCAAAUGCCAGGGCCUGCCAACUAAAUUAAUCAUAAAGUAAAUUUCAGUGUCAAACAAAUCACAGAAUGUUUCUCAAAAAACAAAAAACAGACGAAUCACAGAAUGUCCUUCAAACCAAUUUAAAUCUAGCAACCCAAUAGUUAUUUUGACAAAUAAUCAAUGAUUUCUCUUCAAACUUGUAAUACCAAACCUUGUGAAUUUCAGUUCAUAUACAGAAUGCAAUAUGCUUUUGUCGUCUUUGUAAAACAAAAUACAGAAGACAAAUCAUCAAAAAAUCCCAGUCCGAUCUAAUAUUGUCAUGUAUUUCAACUAUCCCAAGUAACAGUGCAUGAUGAAUUUGGGAUACUGACACAAUGACAUUUGGUUAUAGCUAAGUUCGAGAAGGGACUAUCUUUUUGCUUUAUGACUACUAGGUAGCAAAUUGAACAAGUUGGGACCUAAUAAAAAGUUGGUUCAUAACAUCAAAUUAGAAGCAGUAACAAAGUCAAUUUGUUUAAUAAGCACUCAAAUCUCAUUUCUCUAAGGACGUGUCCUCCACUAAAGAACCUAAAACAUAAAAAACCAGAAGAACAAAAAGAUUACAUUUUCAUUGGUUGUGAACUGUUAAAUUAUGCACAAACUAAUCAGAA